rnacentral:lncRNA from 1 species
CGACACCUCACAACUUCAUUUGAACAAAACCACCCUUGAAUGAACCAUAGAGAGGUUGUGAUCUUCUGAAACUGAAAAUAUCAUCUAUGUGAACAAUGUGAGGCUCAGCUGAUUCACUAGUUUCUUCCUUCAACUCGGGUGCAUGCAGCCUCCCAUACACUCGAACACUCAGUGUCUUCUUCCGGGGUGCACCAGCUUUAAUAUUCUCGUUGAAAAAGUCAAUCAAUUCUUGUUGUGUCAGCUGCCUCAGUGCUGCAACCUGUUUCAACACUAAUGCUGUGUAAACCAACAACUUCAGGACAUGAAUACUCAACUACAAGUGAAAAAGAUAAUUUUAAUUUGCUCAGGCCCCUAAGAAGGUUUACAGAGAGCAGAGGCUGCGUUCUUCAUGUCUCUUGGUUUACCUUUUUCUCCAAAAAAAAAAAAAAUGAAAAUAAAUCUUCAAACAUACAAAAGUCUUAACCUGACUUGGUGAAAAAUAAAUAAAUAAAUUGAUGGUAAUUCCCAUACCUCAGCCUCCCUCCGAUCAAACUUGAGGGUCCCAUCAGAAAUCUCACGCCAGUAAAAUCCAGAUUCUUCAUUUAAAUUCUUGUGUUUCUCAAGCUUCAUGUCAAUCAAUGCAUUUACGUUGUUCUACAAAAAAAUGCCAUUUUCACUGUUAAGCAGCCGGGCAGAUUUUAUCUAAAAACACUCAUAUAAACAGAAUAUCUAUCUGGGAUUAUCAAGAAUAUAAUAAUUUCACAAAAAAGAAAAAAAUGGCUGAGACUGGGACAAUAUAUGCAAUUACAGAAAAAUUGAUAAGGAAUAUUCUCUCUUUUAAUAUCACCAAUCUCUUUGUACUUAAUGUAGUUCCAUUGCAUUUCAAGAAUAGGAUAUGACAAAAUGAUGAUAAAAAGAUGGAAUAAUAUCAUAUUUAUCUCAUAAUAAUAGCAACUGUCAAAGCCUUGGCAUAUGUAUAUAAGUUAAUAGUCUAGAAUUAAGAUUAGGGAAGUACUUUCUCUAUUCAAAACAUGUUAUCCAAAUGAUUCUUUUGAUAAUUCUGUUGGUAAAAGAUUUGAGCAUCAAACUUAAGCAUUACUGAUAUAAUAACUUCCAACCUUCUGUAGUGCUUAUAAAAACAAUCUCAUCAGUGAAAACACAGAUCAGAAUAACUCAUGUAGAAUAGAAAUGUGUCUCACCUUGAAUUGGUCACUGGUCAUCUCAUAAAGUUUACUUUCAAACAUCUGGAGAAAUGAUUCAACUCUCAGAUCAAUAUACUUCGGACCCUGUUAAAUUGACAGAGCACUUGAGGCAAAGCGACAAUAACGCUGUCAAUGUGCAUAUUCAAAGAACAAAACUAUGCUAUAACCUUUACUGAGGAUUGAAUGAUGAACUGCACUCCAUGGAUACCAAAAUCAUUCCUACAUCAAGUAGAUAGCUAAGUUUAAAGCAAAUAUUCCAAGCUGAAGGAGAACUAGGGACCUCAAGUUAUGUACCUCCGCCGGAGUGCUGUAAUGUACCCAAGUUGCUCAACGGUUCUAAGCUGGUGGAAAGCUGGUUGUUUUGCAAUAAGAUUAAGAAGCUGAAGUGCCACAUUCAUGAAGAAAUCAUCUCGAUGAACCUGAACAACUCAACAUGACAUGACAUCAGAAUCGCAUCAGACCCCCCACAGAAACAAUUGGUCCGGUCAAAUAGAGAUCAAGAAACAUGUAAAAGAUUUUGUUUGACUCGUACAUCUAUUAUCCCUGUUGCAUGGGUACCAAUAACCUACAUUUCAGAAUCCAUACCAGUCUGUCCCAAAACCAUAUAAUUCUAAAGCAACAAAACAAUAUUAACUCCAUGAAUCAAGGAAUGCUCGAGGAAAACCAAUGUCGCUUAGCACAAGAUAUAUAUUUUCAAGAAAUUGGACAGAAAACUAUUUCUUCAGAGCUUAAGUUCAGAGCCUCAUCAACAUGCAUAAAGAACCGUUGGAUGACAUGUAAUUCACUUAAAGUUAUGGCAAAAGCAACAUAUAAAUAGAUCUCAUCACAGUUUGUGCUGUCUGAAAGUAAUGGCAGACAUCAACACAUAAAUAAUAUACACUGUACGUUUGUCUUAAAAGUAAUGGCGAAAACAUUACCAUAAUUAUUCCUUAAUCACAGUUUGUUUAGUAGUUUAGGGUCUUAGCUGAAUAACCUAAUCAUAUGGACAGUAAAGAGGCAAACCAUUGUUCAUCAAGAAAUGACGGCCCAAACAAAGCCAUUUUAAAGCAAAAACCGCCCUACAUCAUGUGCGGGGGUCAAUUUACCGUGAAAAGAAGGAAAAAGGCUCAACUACUUACUAAUCUCUUUUUUUCUGCUUUUUAGCGCCGCCCCCCCACCCAACAAAAACAAAGGGUAACAACUUGGCAGAAAAUAUUCGUUGUAACAAAUAUCAGUAUUUCAUUCCCUUUUCAUGAAAAUAUCGAAAAUUUGAAAUCAAUGCCUCCAACUACGAUACAGCAAUGGGAAGAAAGAAUACACUAGUGAUAAACAUGUGUCCCAAUAACAAUUAGAAUACUGCUCAAGAUUUUAUCCUCUCCCCAAAAAGAUACUUUCAAAGCUUUUCAAGUAUUAGAAGGGAUAAGAAAUGCAUGCAGAAUACCAGCUGCUUAAUUUUACAAGGAGUAUAGACGCAGCAUAGAACACGUAUAUCAGCAGCCAAAGCACUUAAUUAAAUAAUUAUUUUCCUUUUUUUUUUUUCUAAAAAAAAUUCUUGUACCUGAAUAUAAUGGACUAGGCAAGAAUUUUCAUCACUAGGAUUCAGGCCUUGGUUGGAGUACACAUAAUUCUUGCCCUUUUCAAGUUUAACAACUCUAUUAGUCAAAUGCUGGGAUGGGAACAAUGGUUGGCAUAUUGGGUUUGAGCCCUUAAAGAAAACAUCUUCAAUGUACUGGAUAAUCGAUCCUGCUUCAUUAGAUUCAAUGUUUCCUGAGAACAAAUGAAAGUAAUGAGAUCAUAAAUGGAAACAAAAAGGAACGACCGAAAUCUCAAACAAUGCCAUUAAAAAAUUGAAACAGAAGGACCUGCUAUGUAACAUUCCAAGAAGGUCCUAGAGAGCAUCAUGGGUACAAAUUUAGCAAGAUCUUCAGCUUCAAGAUGAGGAAGAACUUCAAGUUCUUCCGUCCAAGGCCACGUUUGAUCCUGAAGUAUUAGAGAGCAGUAGUACAUAGCCAGUUGAUAUGGCUGUAGAAACUUAUUAUUAUGGUAUUCUUUUGUCACCAUUUCCUGCAAAUAAAUAAAGGGAAUGAAAAACUUUAUUCAUACAUGAACAGCUUGGGUUCAUAACAGACUCACCAAGGGAAGCAACAUGAUAAUGGUUCCAUACAGUGUAAAUGGGGAUUGUUAAGUCAAAAGUUCAACCAGUUGAGGAGUCGCUCACAGAACCAUCAAAUGCAAGUUCCGGAAGAACUAAAAAAUGGUGCUAAAACAUUUUUAGAAACAGCUUAUACACUUUAAUAAUCAAUUUAUACAUCUUUCUAAACAGAGUAGGAUAUAUAAACAAAAAUAUAUUUUUUACCCUUAAUAUUUUAGUAUGCCCCUACCACAGUGAAGAUCCACUUCUGGGGGCUUGUGGUUGCUUAUGCAUGUGCAUCCACAUGAAUGGAAUCCAGGUGUAAAAGAUGAAAGAAAAAGAUACAAUGCAUGCCCACACCCAGAUGCACACCCCUAAAGCCUUCAUGCUGAAAAGCCAUGUUACUGAUUUGGAGCUCAAAACAACCAAAGCUAUGCAGGCUUUGGAACAGCACAACCAAAGAAAAUUAUUGUAAGCUCCCAAUUAUAAACAAAUAAUACUAGUACUUUGAUUCAGUUAGAUGUUUAAGAUUAUAAAAGAAAAUAACGUUCAACGUCAAACAGGUCAAAUAUUUUAAGCCUAAAUCAUUACCUUAAUCACAGAAAACCUGUCAGGUUGGACUUUGAAUUGUGCAAUUUUUUGAAAAAUAGUUUCCAGCAAGAUCCUCAAUUUGUGAUUAUAUCCAACCACUGUAACCUGUAGAAGCAAAAACCAUAAAAUCAACACAUAAAAAUACAUACCAACAUGAGAUAAAUAUCAAAGACAAGUGAAAAAAAAUACCUCAAAACCACCCUCAGUGUGGUUUAUCCCAUAAUAAAGCCCAGCAACCUCAGCAUAGUAAGCUGAUACAUAAAGAUAUGAUGGGUAAGGAAAAAAUUUAAUUUUAUUCACAAAUACAGAAAUUAUGUAAAUUGUAGAAGUUAUGCUCUAUACCAGAAACAUAAGAAUUUUAUCAAAAUGAAAGAGAAGAUGAUAUGGAAGUGAACCAGAGGUUCACAGGGGAAACAAAGACAGCCCAAAAAAAGCUACCUACUAACCAUAUAGAACAGACGCAUAUCUAUACCUCAAACAGCAUGCAAAUCCCAAAAUUUACUAAAAUGUGAAAAAAGCCCAAUCAAACAAAAUCAACACAUGACCUCUCUCAACUCAACUAAACCUAAAUAAAGGGAUCAGGUAUGGGAAGCCCUUUGGAAAUAAUCUGUUCCUUCAAUGAAAUUUUAGUAUGUGGAACUCUAGUUUACCUUGGAAAUCUUUCCCCCUUUAUUUAUUCUAUAAAAGUUUGUCUGUUUCCAAAUAAAAUGAAUGAAAACAAUAGUUAAAAGAAAAGGAAUAGUCAUUUGUCCAAUCCUACAUCAACAUCCUACAACAUUUAUCCAGCAUCUUACCAUAUUCAUUCAAAUAGUCAUGUAACAACCGUGUGAAAAUAUCAGUCAGAACUUCAGAUUCAGGAGAGCUGCUAGCAUGGGGGCAGUUGAAAUAAAUAUUAACAAAUGCCUUGGGUGUAGAGAACAUUGUGUCAGGCUUGUACCACAAUGUUGAAUAGGAUGACUUUCUCAACAGAACUGGGAAUUUGGCCUGUUACAAAGACCAAUUGCAUGAGAACAAUUGCUUUAAAGAGAACACAUCAUAAUAAAUUUUACUGUAAAGAUGGGGAAAAAAAAAUCCUCAGACCUCUUGUGUAUCCUUAAGAGACAAGUCAGUGGGGACGAAGACAUUAGGAGCUGGGAGAUGCAGAUUUUCCUUAGGAGCAGACAGUAUCCAGUCCUGGAAACAAAUAAAGAUUUUGAAGACUCAUCAAUUCCUUCCUUCAAGCUGCUCUAAUCACCAAAAUUUAUUUAGCUGCUUCCACUGAAUGUGGGACAAGAUAAAUAGCAUACACUCCAAUCUAAUAUGAACUUUUCCCUCUUGGAAAUCAUAUCCAUGAACCAAAAGAGAAACCCUGCAACCUUACCCUCCAUCUCAUUCUAAUAGCCAUUUGCCUCCAGGGACAUUGACAACUGUUAUUAUUACUAGAAUAAUGAAUCAUAUCAUAUUUAAAAUCAAACAACGAACCUGAAUUAUGGACUCAUUGAUGUUCUCAACGGAAUAAGCAGUACCAUACCAAGGCUCAACCAUCUCUGUUUUCCCCUCAAAUUGCUUUGACUCCCAAAAAAUUCUGAUAAACAGAGAGCUUAUUAGAAAGCAGACAAUCUGUCAAUCACAAUAGUCUGACUUUGAUUGAAAGAUGGAGACAGCCAAUUGUACAUAAAUUAUCAGACACAAACAUGUCCUUGAGCAUUACUACCAACAAGCAGAAAGAUGCAAGUAAUUAGUCUUGAAAACAAAGUAUCAAAUCCGAAACUGCUAAACCAAGUCAUUGGCAAUACAAUGAUAUCGAAAUGUUUCCCUUUACUUUUAAACAUAAAGCAAUGGGAAGCAAACACUUAGUUAUAUUACAGCAGAUAAUGGAAACAAGCAGAUAAGGCUUCGCAUGCACAUGAAAUACCUUAAAGCCAGACAAAAUUAUUUUACAAGAAAAAGAACUUAUCUGAUAGCAAGAAGAAUGGGAAUGAUAAAAAUCAAACAUCAUCCAGCCAUAGAAGUUCAACGAUAAGUCAAAUGCUUAAAUGAAGUUUAGAUAACUUGUACCAGAAUCAGGUACCAUGUCCAACAAAAUAGUGAACUAAAGUUAAAUUUUUUAACAAUCAAAUCAGAACAGAUGUUAUAUACAAAGUUCAAAUAAUGGAAAUAUGUGCGUCAAUCUUCAUAUGCACUGAGUCAAACACUCUCUAAGCGCUUACAAACUUACCUAACAGUUUUUGGAGAAAGCUCCUUCAAAGUCAUUUGAAUAAUCUCUGGAUUGAAAUUGGAAGGCAAUGAUUCACCCACUAGCCAGUCUUGAGGAGGAUAUGUCUGAAAAAUAAUUUCAAGGCAUCAUUUACUAACAGAAAAAACAGUAAUAAUUGACUCAUUCACAAUCAAAAAUAAACUGCAAAAGAAAGAUGUCAAUCAGCUACCAGUUCAUGAUUCACAAGCCCAAAUAAUCCUUAAAAUGUAGAAAAAAUAAAAGAAAGCCAAAUUUGUAAACUGUCUAUAAGAAUAGCACAAAGAUUACUUCUUGCAAAAAGCUGUUGGGAAUCUAAAAAUAGAGGUCCAGGAUUCAAAAACAACGGUAGAACAAGAUUAUUAAUCCACUCACCAUAUCCACUUAUUCUAUAUCUAACAUUAAACAAAAACACCUUUAUGUGCAAGGGAAUGAGACAAUGAGGCAGGCAAGAUAACCAUAUUUUUCGUUCAAUCAAUCAUCGGAUAAAGGUAUUUUCUAGUGUUUCAAGUGGUGUUAGAAGCUAUGCCUCACAAUCAGUUCCUCAAGCUAUACUCCUACACUAUUCCAAUUAUUUUAAACAAUGUAAUAAAACUGGAUAUUUCGUUCAACCCAGGAGGAUUAACUUUACAAAAUGGAAAAGAACAUAUACCUCCAUAUUGGCAGCAACAGUAACCACAUAGUCAAUCGGGGGGACUUUAUCCUGAUAAUGAAAUGUCACCUCACAAACAGCUGAAAGCUUCAUAAGAUAAAUAAAAUGUCAGAAUGUUGAAGACUAGAUAGGCUGAAAACAAGACAGGCAACCUUCCAGAUGCAAAUUCAAUAAAUAGUAAACAAUUGAGGUACUGACAAGGAGAGAGUCGAUUAUCCUUCAAGCAAGACUACAGUAUGACAAAACUUUUUAAAUAUUAUGAAAGACGGAAAAUGCAUGAUAAUAAUACAAAGCCAGACUCAUUGAUGUGUUGGACUGCUGUCAUGAACUUUCCUUCCUUUCAGAUUGCAUGAAAGUAUAAAAGGAAGAAAAACUAGAGGGCAAUAAAUUUGAUGCAAUGUUUUUUCCUUUACACCGAGUAAAAACUAUUCUCAAACCUUCAGUGGAUAUACUGUGGAUGGCUAUACUCAAAUCUCUGGUGGUCAGCAGAACUAUAUCUUAAAAGCAUCCGUUAAGAUACAUCAUCUACAAGAACAUAUUCUUCCUGUUUCAACUAUAAUCCUGAAACUUAACAAUAGCAUGCAAGUAACGUUUGAAUAGCAACUAUCAUAGUUGCACCUUUUCACAUUUCUACAUUACAAUGAGGAGUCAUUAUCCAAAAGACCAACUUUUCCAACAGCAUCGUAAGAACAAACUAUCGAACAAUAAUAGUAUCUCGCAACUAAAAAGUAAUGCCAUUAGCAGAGUCAAAUAACCUCUUGUUUCUGACAACAAAAUAAUAGUAGUAGUAGAAAUAAGAAGCAAAGUAGAUACUGAGCUAACAGCCAAACCCCAACAUUCUCUGGUAGAAAAUUUAAUGCAAAUCAAUCAUCCUACCACUAUGCUCUUCAACAGAAGCAUCCUACAAAGAGGCAAGACUGCACGAAUGCAAGCAACACGCAACUAACAAUAAUACUAUGCAACAGUAGCAAUUAACAAGAUGCGUCAUCAUACCUCAUCAAAUAUCCAUUUGCUAGCACCAGACUGCUGUAAAAGGUUUAUGUAUUUAAAUAACAACCCCACAACAUCUUGCAUGUGCUCUGCUAGUCAAUCAAGGGGGGAAAAAUUUUUAACCCAAAAGAUCUACAAAUUGAAGUUAUUUGCAUAUUCUAGCAGAACAAAGUAAAUCAAUUGAUUAUAAUGAAUCACAUUCAAUUAAAUGCAGUGUGAGAUACAACUGCAUUACCAUGACCAGAAUCAGUAAGAUCAACUGUAACUUCAAAGAAUGAAUAGUCCAAAGUCCAAUCUCCUUCAUCUGCAGCCAAUGAUGUAGCCCAUCCUGCAAAAAUUUAUUUCAAAAAGAGGUGACUGGUCAGUUGGCCUUUCAAAGGUGAAAAAUUUUGGUGUGGAUAACCAAAGACCCUGAGCUAGUGUCAUCAAAUUCCACUUUGAUCUUUAUACACAAAACAAACACAGACAUUAUCAACCAGAACAUACAUGUGCUUAUAUCAAGACUUCUUCCCACCCUGAAACUUGUGCUUAUAUCAAGACUUAUAUCAAGACAAAUUGUACAGAUUUCAGUGGACGUUAACCCAAGUCAUCAACAAUCCAGCCAUGAAAUGAGGAUCAGAGAGUGCUUCAUCCCCAAUAAGCUGUUUGCAUCAAGCAGUGAUUCUUAAAAUUCUAGAGGAAAAUCAGUCCCUCAAGAAAGCAUAACAUGCAGUAGCUUUGUAAAUUGUUUCUAACAUCCACACAAUGGAAAUAUGACAGAGUAGGCAUUGAAUACUUGUUGGGGGGGGACAAUGAGAAAUACACUGUAGUGAAAAUCUAAACAGAACCAUUUGUCUCCUAAGAUCUUAAAAAAAUUGAAAAUAUCAUUGUUUUAUGUAUUUUACUAUUCAAAUUCACAAAAACAAUUCAUUCUGAACUAGUAAAGAAGAAGCAUCUCAAGCCUAAACAUGUAGGAACACAAAUUAUGGACACUGAAACUUGGUUAAGUUUUCAAAUAAAAAAAAAGUUUCAGGAUGCAACCGAAAGCUGCAAGUAAAUUGAGAAUCAGAAAUAUAAAGGAUAAGCAGAACCUACCCAAUGUUUUCAAGAUGUAAAACAAUGAUCCCUCUGAUUCAUGCCCAAUAAGAUGACUGAUAUAUCUGCCUGGUGCUUCCUUGUAGUGACGAAUGCUUGGAGUUAUUGGCCAUCCAAUUCUUAGUUUGUGACCUUGUCUAAUUGGAACAGCUCUAACAAGAAUCUGAAGCAAAAAAUAUAAACUAGGAAAAUUUGAAACAAAGAAAAAGUUCUUUCCUACUUUCUGCAGUGUCCCUUGAGACCCUUUGUCACCACAUAGAACUUGACCAUACCUGUAAAUGUUCUGAUGUGCAAGGCUGACCAGGAAAACGGAAACGAUUUCGAUCAGUGUUCCUAAUGUCCUGAAACUUAUUCUCCACUAGAACUUGAAUUUUAUCAACACUUUCUAGAAACAUCCAUCACAUAGGGUUGGUCAUUAUAUCUCAGAGUACUUCAGUCAAGGCCAAAAUACAGCAGGAAGAAUUAGUUCCUAACCUUUUGAAUACACAACCAGAUGCAUGAGGUUGGAAGAGUAAUGUUCAUUAUAAAACUUAAUGAGCUCAUGCCUUGUGGUCAAUCCUUUCGCUCUUGGUCGAACUUCCAAAGUUUCCCAGUUACCUAAACAUCAACAAGUAUUUGAUAUAAACGUCUAUCUCGUUGAAACACAAUAUGCAGAAACUAGAGCGAAAAGGUGAAAGGAAAAAGAAAUUGUGAACACAAUGAAUUGUAGACAUCGACAGAACAACUUGGAAAUACUUAAAUCAUUUUUUCAUAAGACUCUGAAAAAUUACUAAAAUGAAGAAAAUGAUAAAUGGAAAAGUAUAACAGAAUGUAACACUUUGUAAUAAAGAACGGAGAGAGAGUCAAGUAAGUUGCUGACCGGUGCUAAACUUAUGAUAUGGAUGAUCUUCUGAACUUAGAUGUUUCCAGAGCUGUACAAAUUAAAAAAAAAAAAAACAUAAAGGUAGUCAUUUCUCACAGAAACACUACUAAAACGACUACUAUGGUAAAAAGAUAUAACACCUUAUUCAUUAUUAACUUGCUGGAGCUCAAAUACAAUCGUCAGGACCAGCUUUAUAAUUUAUGCUUUUAAGCCAAACAAAAAAUUAAUAUGAUAUCAACAUUAAUUUGACCAAGAGGUCUUAUAUUUGAAACCUCCCAUAUAAUUGCAUUCAGAUUUGUAUUUGCAUUUGCAGUAUCAUCUGCAUCUGAGUUAGUUUCUAUUUGAGCUUAAUCCACAUGACAAGGCUGUUAAUAAAAUUCAGAGGGUCUGUUAAUACUACAGUUGAUAAAAUCCAGAUGGCCUGUUAAUGCUAUAGUUGACUAAUCUAUUAGCAUAAGCUUUUAGGUCGAUUGAUGAUGAUGCUAAUUGUUAAAAGCAAUAAUGAUGACAACAUCAAUUAAGAUAAAUUACUUUCUUAUUUCUCAUUAAAAAGGGGGAAAAAGAAGAAGAACAACAACAAAAACAAGAUCCUAGCUUAGUAAAAUCUAUUGGUACCAAUGCAAAGAUCUAGAUGAAAUCUUUUCUUCUCCAAUUAAGUUUCAAAGGUUGUAAAACAGGCCUUCGAAAAUAUACGAAUUCUACAAAAUUUGAUCUAAAUUAAUGUGGGACCUAUAUAUAAAUUUGAUACUUGGCAAUAAUUUCCAUUUAGCCUUAUUUCAAUGUUACGCUUAACAACAGAAAUCCAAUCACUGGGCAUUAUUUUAGCUUGUUCAUAUUUUAGGAGUUAAUAUCUAGGUUUGAUUGAAUAGGCUUCACAACAGAACAUGAGUCCUUCUCUAUUAUAACUGUCCUGAUUGGCUUUUGCAUGAGGUCCUCUGUGGUUUUUUUCUUUUUGGGGCCACAUCUUUAGUAUUUGCAGUUUCCUAUUUAGAAUUUCAACCCUUUAGCGAAUUCAGCAAAACUGGCAAGUCUCAUACAUUCCAGCCAAACGCUUUUAAAUGAAGAUCAGUUGCACUCCUUAGAAUCAUGUGAUAUAAGCGUAUGGGAAAAAAUUGACGCUGAGGCACUAUACAUUACAUGUGAUGAAUACAUCUAUUUAUUCCUCCUUCUUGGAUUACUGUUCACAACCAAGUAAAGCAGCUCAUGGAACACUGUCUUAACCUGAUAUUUUGGUCUCAAAUGCUACUCUGAUCCAUAUCCUUUCAAAAUUCAAAAUCUCACAUAAUUUCAACUCCUAAGCCACCCUUGUACCAUAAUAUCGGCACCUAACAAAAAAGAGGACCUGCACUCCUUUUAACAGAUACAAGCAAUAAGCACUUCACAUGCCAAUUUCCAUUAUCAAGUAAAGCCCUAUUUUUUUCUAUUUAUACGUAACAAAUUUAUAACAAAAGCAGUACCAAAAAUGUGGAGCAACUGUGGUACAUGGGAAAUAUAUAAGAAACACCGGAAACAUAACCAAACAAAAGCAUAGUGUUUAAGAUCUCUAAAAAUUCCAAAAAAGGACGAGUGAAAAUGAUUUUUUGGAAGAUGAGUACAACAUAAAGACCCCAAACCAAGCUAAGUCCAUUACCAUUCAUCCAUUUUUCAACUAAUCAACACUGCUAAAAUUUUCUUGAACCUAGAACACUAAGCUAUGAAGAAUGACAGACCAUAUUCCAUAGAUCACCAAUCAAAAGGCAUUGUAAGAGAAGAAGACCUAUACAAUCCCCAAUACCCUUGUGCCAUAAAACACCAACUUAUAAUAAUUUAUUUCUUCUUACCAAAUUUUAUUGUGUUACGAGUUCAACCAAGGAAUAUCAAUUUUAGCAAAUUAUAUCUCAAUCUAUUCAAAUAAUGGCCAAAGGUCAGAUGUCUGUGCAUGUUCAGGUUUUUUUUCAGUUCAAUGGAGCACUUCUUAUACCAAAGAACAUAGGAUAGCAACCAGAAAAAAGGGAAAAAAAAAAAAAGACACACAAGUUGCAGCAAUAAAAUAAAGCUUUAUGAAGGAGAACUUUCACUUCAAAACUGAUACUCAGGCUCAGCAAUGGAGUCCAAGAUCUCUUGUGAAUGAUAACAAAUGAUAAUGAUAUAACUUAGAAAAUAGAAACCCAAGGAAAAAUCAUCUCCAAAUAUUAAAUUAAUGGAAGUAAGCAACACCUGGUUUAUUCUCCAAACAUCAGACAACAAGUUUUUCUGGUUCUCUGGAUACAAGCGAGGGAGGAGGAAGGAAAGCAGAACUGAAUUAAUGAUAAUGAAACAUGAUUCUGAAAGUACAUUAACGUGCUAGACUCUACAAUAAACAACUAACCAGAAUGAACUGCUUUAAUCUCCCUAAUCGUAGCAUCAGCUGACAUCAACGGCUUAAUAAAGAACUGUGCAAAUCUGUGCAGUAAAUCACAGGAAAGACUCAGACUCAAAAACUCAAGUACUGAAAGAUAUGAUACUUAAGAAAAAUGAAAAAUGGCACGUACCUGUCCAAAGCUUCUUCAAAGGAGUCAGGGUUUACAUCAAAGUAGUAGUUUGUAUGCUCAGAAGAUGUAAACGCAUUUGCCAUUCCUCCAUGCUGUGCAUAAGAAAAUUAAUCCGCGGCAAAAAUCAGAACAGCACCUUACUUGUCGUACUUACAGGAUUAAUCAAGAAAUAAAACAAAGAGCAGUUUGUAUUUAUCACUUGAUCACACAACCUAAAAUGUAUGUGCUCAAGUGUGUAAUGACACCGAAGUUUCUACCCCAAAAGAAUUCCCAAGAUAAUCCUUAAAAGAGAACAAAAAGUGCACCCUCCAAACAGACACAGCAAGGAACAUACCAGUGAUACCACCCAUACGCAGGGGGCCAAAUUAAAAAGGAAAUGAUCAAUCUCUGGAGCGAACCAGAUUUCUAUAAAUAAUGCAAAUAAAGCUCAAGACAGGGAAGCAAAACUACAUGAAAGACAUACUUCAGUACUUCUGCUACCAAAAUAUGAAUGCGCCAAUCAAAACAGGACACCUUUACCAAGGACCUAGGUAGGAGGUAUUCCUUUAUCCCGUAAAGAAGAUUACAGGCCAUAAUAAUCACCCACAAACCAUCUUUCCUACAAGGUCACUCGAGUUGCUUCCCCAAUAUAUUAUAUAUCAAAAUUAAAAAUAAAAAAAAAUUUCAGACUCCAGAUUCCUCUUCACAUUUCUCAAACUGUAUUUAAGAUCAACGUUAACCAUAAACAAUACCAAACCACCACCCAAUGACUCUACUAGAAAACAUAAGCAAAGAUAGGAUGUGGAAUCACAACUAGUCUUAGGAUGAAUGCGCCAAUCAAAACAGGACACCUGUACCAAGGACCUAGGUAGGAGGUAUUCCUUUAUCCCGUAAAGAAGAUUGGAGUGCCAUAAUAAUCACCCACAAACCAUCUUUCCUACAAGGUCUCUAGAGUUGCUUCCCCAAUAUAUUAUAUAUCAAAAUUAAAAAUAAAAACAAAUUUCAGACUCCGGAUUCCUCUUCACAUUUCUCAAACUGUAUUUAAGAUCAACGUUAACCGUAAAUAAUACCAAACCACCACCCAAUGACUCUACUAGAAGACAUAAGCAAAGAUAGGAUGUGGAAUCACAACUAGUCUUAGGAUGUGCUUCAACAACCCGUAGUAAGGCUGUGGUCAUUAUUCACUAUUGCAAUAUUAUCUAAAUCGUCACCCUGACACUAUGCAAGAUCAGUAACCUAAAGACAUAAAAUCUAAAGUAAAAAGGAAAUUUCUGGCACAAGUUGUCUCAAGUAUCAAAAGACAGCUUGAGAGGAUCAUGUUCACAAUGUAAUUCAUAAUUUUUCACUCCAGCAUACAUCAGUCAAUGCAUGGAAAGUCCACAGCAUCACUUAGAACGGUAAGAAUACAUAUUGACAAUUAAAGUAUUUUUUUCGACAACAUUAACAAACAUUAUCAAAUCAUAUCACAAGAAAUUGAUAGACCACCGUGCCAGCGAACUUUCUAAACCCUUGUUGAAUAAACUGACUACAUCUAAAUCCAAUCCGGUUAUGGGUCAGCUCCACAGAGAAAAGAACAUAAAUGGAGUCAUCACCCCAUUCCACAAUAGAACAAUCCAUGGCUGUAAAUUUAAACAAGAAUACCUUUUCCACUUCCAAUCACUAAGAUACAAUCUGACCGCAAUGGCUUGCAGGAAAAUAGAGGAAUGUAAUUAAAACUAAAACUCCCAUCAGCCCUACAAAUCAAGUGAAGAAUUUGCUUCAGGAUUUUGUUUUUAGCAAACACCUGAUUAACAAAAAAGUUAAGAUUUUCCUCUGGAGGGAAAAUGUGUCUUUUUAGUCAGUUAUAUUCCAAGGGAAUAGCAUUCAAAAUUUUUUUCCUUGUCUGUGUAUCUCGCCAACUCCAUCCACUUCUAGUUAAAGUCUAUUAUUAGUAUCAAAGAGCAAGAUUAAGCAUAAAGCAUGAUUCUCUGAAACUUUUACUUAAGAAAACAUACUAGAAAUAAGUGAAACAGGACAUUAUUGAGGGCCAAUACCUCUGAUAUGUACUUUAAAUAGCUAUCCUCCACUGGAUAUUUCUCACUAGCAUAAAACAGCAUAUGCUCUGCACAUUAAAGAAACAGGAAAACAGUAACUAAAGCAAGUUAUAAAUACUCGAACUCAUUAAACAGGCCACAGAAUUUGUCCCCUACAGCCAUAUAAUUAUCUAACUACAGCUAAAAGCAAUAAUAAUGUAGAAUAGGAGAGUAAAAGAAUCAUCCAAUGAAUCACCACACAACAGAAUUCAAAAAAAAAAAAAUAUCAAUGACAAUAGCAAACAGUGAAAAGGGAAAAGAAAGUAGGCAAAUUAGGAAGAGAUGAAAGAACCGAGAAUGAAACAAUGCUAUAACUUUAACAGGAAAUAAACAAGCCUGAACACACAAUGAAGAAAUACUUGAACCAAAAAGAAAGUACAAGUGAAACUUCUAAUUCUGUUUAACUCUGUCUACUCUAAUUUCAAUAUGAGCAACACAUUGUAUUUUAAUCUGUGAUCAUCCGAAAACACGUUUAGAGUCAUCUCACACAAACCCAUCCCCAUUUUUUUUUUAAGUAACUUUUACAAUUUACAUUCAUACAAGACUAAAAUUCCCCAAAUCAAGAAUUCAAAUUUGCCACAAGAUACAUUAAAUAUACCGAGAAAAUGGGCAAGGCCCUCGAGACCAACAGGGUCACAAAAGGCGCCAACGCUGACAUUCAUCGAAGCAGCACACUGAAGCAAAAACAAUAAAACAAACCAAACCCACAAGAUUACUAGCUUAAAUUAAACUGAAAAAUAAAAUUUUAAAAAUUUGGGUCUUGCUGGUUACCUUAUCGGCAUCAGGAUCGCUGAUCAAAAGGACUUGAAGAGAGUUUUUAAGGACGAGUCUCCGGUACUGUCUCUUGUCCGUACGUGGCUUUAUAAUCUCUACAUCAUCUUUACCGACAGCCAUUUUUUCAGUCUCUUGCAGAAGAGAGAAACAAUCGUUUUGGCUUUAUAGGGAUCCACAAGUGAAAUGACCGAGACCAAGACUUUAUUUUUUAUUUUUUUAUAAAAAGACCAAGACGUUUUUGCUCGAGUCUCCUGCGCUUUUGUGUUGUGGCUGUCACGGAUAUUUGCUUCCUCAAUAAAUAUGUGACAAAUUUCACAAACCUGCCUUAAAGAGCGUUAGGUAUUGACUUACUUUGACCAAAACGACGUUAUUAGUUAUGUGGUUGUAAGAGAAUCUUUUAUACACUUAAAAAAAAAUAAUAAUAAUAAUAAGAAAAAGAGAAUCUUUUGUACAACACUAGUGUCUGGGUCGAUCGCGAUCGAUACUGCAUGAAUGCAAAACAUUCGAUAAACGUAAUGAAGAGAGAGGCUUUACUUCGUCUGACAUGACUUCAAACUAAUUGACAACUUAAAAUUAUCAAACUAUUAUUGCAAAAAAAAAAAAAACAUAUAAUACUGCAAGUUCGAAUGUAAUUUUUAAGAGUCAUCUUACAGUGCAGCGCUGUAUCUUAUACAGCCGCUGCCAAAAACUAGAACAACCGGUAUUUUACCGGUUGUUCAUUAAAUAAUUUUUAAAAUUUGUUUUUAAUGCUUAAAAAAAUAUAGUAAAAUGAAAAAAAAUGUAUGAAAAAUUUAAAUCUGAAACAUAAAAAAUCAAUUAAAUGAGAAAAAUAUUUUAAAUUUUUUUAACAUAAAUAAAUGUUAAGAAAUUAUAAAAAUAAUUAUAUUUCAAUUUUUUUGGCUAAAUACCAAUUUAAUGGGUGGAUGUUCAAGUUUAUUUUGUAUGUCUCUAAUUUCGGUUAGUCUUUUUCAUUUAUUGGUUCAUUUAUUUCAAUUUUUCAACCACUAGUUUUGUGUUUAAUGUUCCAACUAAAUUAAUUAAAUACCAAUAUUUUGGGGUAAAUUACAAGUAAAUUUUAGUUCUCGUAGGAUGAGUUCCUAAUUUUAGUUAAGCUUUCUCUCUUAUUGGUAUAAGGGUUUCAGCUAAUAAUUUCACUAGCUUUGUGUUGAAUGUUCCCAUUAUCGAGGUAAGAUUUCAAUUAUUUGAGUUAAGUACCAAAUUACUUUGUAGCGUUUAAUUUUUGGUUGGAUUUGUAUCAAAUUUUGGUUAAACUUUCUCAAUUUAAGGUUAAUAUAUUUCAACUUUUCAAUCCAUUAGUUUUGUGUUUAUUCUUCCUACUAAAAUUGUUAAAAAUCAAUAUUUUGGGUUAAAUUCCAAGUAAAUUUUAUUUCUCGUCGGAAUAAUUCCUUAUUUUGGUUAAACUUUCUCCAUUAUGGGUUCAUAUAUUUCAACUAAUAAUUUCAGUGAUUUUGUGUUGAAUCUUACUAUUAUCGCGGUAAGAUUUCAAUAAUUUGGGUUAGAUACCGAUUUUACUUUGUAAAUUUUUAUUUUUGGUUCUAUUGGUUCCUGAUUUGGUUAAUCUUUCUCAACUAUAGCCUUAUAUGUUUUAACUUUUCAAUCCACUAGUUUUGUGUUUAGUAUUCCUACUAAAAUCGUUAAAAACCAAUAUUUUGGGUUAAAUUCCAAGUAUAUAUUAUAUCUCAUUGGAUAAUUUUCAUGAUUUUGGUUAAAUUUUCUCUCAUACAGGUUCAUUUAUUUCAACUAAUAAUUCCACUAGUUUUAUGUUGAGUGUUCCUAUUAUCUAGUUAAGAUUCCAAUAAUUUGGGUUAAAUAUUAAAUACACUUUGUAAGAUUUUAUUUUUGGUUGGACUAAUCCCUAAUUUUGGUUAAUCUUUCUCAAUUAUAGGUUAAUAUAUUUCAACUUUUCAAUCCAUGAGUUUUGUGUUUAAUAUUUCUAUUAAAUUCGUUAAGUAACAAUAUUUUGGGUUAAAUUAUAAAUAAAUUUCAUUUCUCGUUAGACUAAUCCCUACUUUUGGUUAAACUUUCUCCUUUAUUGGUAUAUGAGUUUCAACUAAUAAUUUCACUAGUAUUGUGUUCAAUAUUCCGAUUAUUUAUGUAAGAUUUUAAUAAAUUGGGUUAGAUACCAAAUUUACUUUUUAGAUUUUAUAUAUGGUUAGAUAAGUUCCAUAUUUUGGUUAAACUUUCUCACUUAUGGGUUCAAUUACUUCAAUUAAUUAGUUCACUAAUUUUUUGUUUCAAGUUCUCAGUGCCUACGUUAUGUUUCAACAUUAUUGGUUAAAUUCCAAGUUGAUAUUAUAAAAUUCAAAGUUACCUUUAUUACGAAAAGCAAAUAAUAUUAUUAAGGUGAAUCUCAUUUUACUCCUCUUAUUUCAGUAAAUAUCAACUUACAACAAUAUAUUAAAAUUUCACUAUUGUAACCCCUAUUCAAUUUUCUAUAAACUACAAUCAACAUUGUAAGUUAAAAGAUUAGGAACUUAUCUAAUCUAAUUAUGUUGGAACAUUUUAUUUUUCUUUUUAAUCUUCUUGACUUCAUGAGAUUUCUUAAACUCAACUUAUUUAAACUUGAGCUUUUUAUCAUUAUAGAUAUGCCUAUUUUAUUAUUUCAAAUUAAUUGUACUCAUUUUCUUUCCAAAAUAAAUUCUUUGAUAUCUCAUGACUUCAGCCAAAAUUUCAUUUUUAACAAUUGCAUAUGCAAUUUGUACAGCUCAAAUUUUUAUUUUUCAAAUGUUUAAGAUAAAACAAAUUAUUUAUUUAUUAAUUUAUUAUAUGAUUAUCACAGGAAUAAUGAAAAUUAAUUUUUAUAUUCAAAUUUUAAGAUUUGCAAAUUAGAAUUUACUUUGAAUCCAAUUCAACUAAGUCACCAUUUAUUUAUCUUUAAUUAAUGCUUUAAGCAUAGUAAAUGCAUUUCAAAUUAAACAAUAUUUUGUAUAAAAAAAAUACAUUAGGAAAUUAAUGCAAUCAAGAAAAAAGAAAAUAUAUUAAAACAUUAAUUUUGCUUCCUCAAUUAAGUAUUAAAAGGAAAAUUUUCUCUUACAGAUAAAUUCAACCUUAUAAUUUAACAAUAAUGUUGACUACAAUUUUAAAACUAUUUAUUUAUUGCUCCAAAUUGCAAUAGUUUUUUAUGAGUCAUAAAAAUUAAAUUUAUUUAACAUUAUACUUAUAUAGUUGGAUACAUAAUUUAUACCUUAAUUGAUGUUGCCUUAUUUUCAAUUAUUAUAUUUUAGUGAUAGUUUAUUUCAUUGUAUACUAAUAGUGUUAUAAAUUUGUAAUAAUUGAUUAUACAUCAUAUUUUUCAUUGAUUACUACUCGAAUUAUAUAAUAUCUAUUUUAUAAGUGAGUAUUACUCAAAUUAAUAUAUUAUACUUUAAAAUUUUAAUUAUUAUACUUAAAUCAUAUAAUCACAUAUGCAAUUAAGCGUAAAUAAUGAAAAAGGUCACUUCCCAAGGUUUGGGGAAAUGAUCAUGUAGAUCCUUGAGUUUUUACUAAGAGACACUAAAACCCCUUUUAACUAUAAUGCUGUGGUUCAUUCUUAUAAAAAGAUCCAGUUGCCUCCACUGCAGACAUCUCUAGAGAAAAAAUCUAUUGCAACUUCCAAUUGGCAAUCCCCACUGCCAGGUUGUUUCAAAGUUAAUGUGGAUGCAUCAGUUGUGAUUGAGCAGAGAAGAGUUGGUCUGGGGGCUGUGGUUCGAGAUUCUAGAGGCAAAGUAAUAGCAGCAGCCAUGAAACCUUCUUGUUUCUAGCAGGAGGUAGCCUAUGCCGAAGCAGAAGCUGCAAGAUUCGGUGUUGAAAUUGCAAAAAAGGUGGGAUGUUGGCCUUUAAUCAUAGAAAUUGAUUCUGAGGAGGUUGUAGAUCUGGUUUUGAACAAGAAAAGCACAAGAACUGAACUUUAUUGGAUCAUAUCUGAUUUGCAAGCUUGUAUUAAGAGGCAACAACAAAUAUCAAUUCAAUAUACUCCAAGAGCCAGUAAUGUAAUAGCUCACAAUUUAGCUAGACUAGCUCUGGAGCAAUUUGACGUUGUACUUUGGGUGGAUAACAUUCCAGCCCGCCAUUUGUAUUUAUUCGCUUGUUAAAUGCAUUUAAAGGGAGCCCUUUUUAUCAAAAAAAAAAACUAUAAUGCUUUUUGACUUUAUUAAUUCAAAAAAAUUGACUCUAAAGUUUUAUAAUAAGUAGAAAUAUAAUAUUAAAAUAAAUGUAACAAUAUAUACAUUUUAAAUUAAUUAAUAUAUAAAAAAUAUUUUAGUACUUUACAAUCUUAUAUUAUAUUAAACUAAAAUUUUUUAAUAAAUAGGAACAUAAUAUUAAAAUAAAUAUUUAAAAAUUUAAAUUAUUUUCAAUAUUGUAUACAAAAUUUGAAUACUAUUAAUACAUGAGAUAUAUUUUAUUAAUAAUAAAAUCUAUUUAACCUAAAGAUUUAUUUAAAAUUUUUCUAACAAAUACAAAUAUAUAAUUAAAAUAAAUAUCAUAAUUUACAUUUUAAAAAAUAUUUUAUAUAUUAAAAAAUAUUUUAAUAUUAUUAAUUUAUUAGACAAAUUAAACUAUUUAAAUUAUAUUUGUACUUCUUAAAAAUCUAAAAGUCAAUUUUUUUGAAUCAAUAAAUCCAAAUUGUAUUAUAGUCAAAGGGGUCUUAGGGUCCCUCGGUGAAAACAUGGGGUUUUAUAUGAUCAUUUUUCCAAAUUUCGGGGGUGUAUGUAUCUUUUUCCCUAAAUUAUUUAAUUCUCAGUGUUGCACUAAAAUUAUAGUUUUCUAGUUACAUUGUUAAUUUAGUUAAGGGUACAAUACAAUGUCAAUCACAAUUAUUGUAAUAAUACCUAAAAAAUUAUGCUUGAUAUUAUUAAAAAUUUAAUUUUUAACAAAUUGUACCUUGUUGACUUGAUUGAGUGGUUUUCAAGCGGGGUUAAAAAAUAAAAUCAAAUUAUACACACUUUAGAAAAAUACAUUCAAUUGGACUAUAUAUAUACACAUUAUUAAAACUUUUAUUAUUAUAGAAAAUAAAAUCAUAUAGACUAUACAAGACAUUUCAUUAAAAAUAUAUAAUAUCGUAAAAAAUAUCAUAAGCUGAAUUUAGUUUAAUCAUAAUAAUAAUUACUAUAAUGACAGUUAUUAACAAUAUAAAAAAAACAAAGAUUAUCCUUUGUUGUUUAGAAAAAUGAAAAACCCUCUCAUGUUUUAAAAUAAAUUCAAAUCUCCUGCAACUCUAACUGUGUUAGCUUUAUAUAUCAUUGUAUUAUUUGACACAUAGUUUUGAUGUUAGCCAUAAAAUUUAAAUAUUUUUAGAGUAUAAAUAAAGUGAAAUGACUUAUAUAACUCUAAUGAUUAAAUAAAUUUAAUAAUAAAUUAUCGAGAAAAAUUACUUCACACACACACAUAUUGUGGAUAUAUAUAACCAAAUGCUAUUCCAAUUUAAAUGGAUAAUUUACAACUAUUAGGGAUAUUUUCCCCACUUGUAAUUUUUCUUUAUAAUUUACAAUUUAUUAUAAAAUAAAAUUUGAUCAUUAAGGAUAUAUAAGUUAUUUUAAUUAAUUUGUAUUUUCAAAAUAUUUAAAUUUUAUAGGUAACAGUAAGAUUAGGGGUAGAAUAGUAAAAUGAUAUAGAAAGCUNNNNNNNNNNNNNNNNNNNNNNNNNNNNNNNNNNNNNNNNNNNNNNNNNNNNNNNNNNNNNNNNNNNNNNNNNNNNNNNNNNNNNNNNNNNNNNNNNNNNAAUAUACUUAGUUUACACUAAUAUAAAUAUUAUUCUCACUAAUAUAGACAUUACAUGUUUCAAAGUAAUUUUUUCAGCCAUAAGAAAAUGCAAAUUUUUCAUGCUGAGGAGGGUGUCUUUGAAAUUUUCCUAAUUUAAAUUGAUAAUUUAGAUAUUUAGAUAAAAUUGGUUGUAGCUAUGUGAUAAUUACUACUGAUAUUUGCCAGUUCCCACUUCCAAUUCUUUCGUUCGGUAGCAGGUUUCAUGCGUAAAAAAUAAAAGCCGUUGGAUUGCUUAUAAAAGCAAUCCAACGGGGAAUAGGUUUCAAAAUAAAAAAUAAAAACGGCUGUAUGGCGUGCAGUGGCUGUAUUAUAAGCGGACCCAAUUUUUAAAUAGGUUUAUUUAACUAAUCAUUCAAGUUCAAAUUUUAGAGAGAGAAAUAAUAUUAUUAAAGAAGAAGAACAUACCAAGUUGUCAAUGAAAAGAACAGAGAGAGUAAAGAUAAACAUUAAAUUAGAGAAAAAAUUAUAAAAGAAAUUAAUUAUUCGUUUUAUCUAAUCUUCAGCUAGCUUCAUCCUUCUCUGAUUUGAAGGCAAAAAUUUUGUUUAAAUUUGUGGCUGUUGUAUAUUUUGUAAGUUCAAAUGCCCCACCACUCUAUAUUUAAAAAAAAAAAAAACAAAAAUAAUUUUUUUGACUAUAUAUUCGUGAUUUAGAUAAUCUUAUGUAGCCUUCUUUUUUUUUAUAAAUCUAAAUCAAUCUGAAAGCAUAUGUUUGAAAGAUAAUUUUUUUUUAUUUUUUAAUGUCUAACUAUAAGUGAUAAGUUUUAUACACUCAAAACAUCUUAAAUAUAAUAUUUUUAUACUUAUGACCUUGAAAGUGUUAUUUAUAUUUAGUUAAUUUAAAUAGGUAUAUACUUGCAAUGUUAUUUAGUACAAUAGUAUUUAUAUGUUAUAAAUAUUUAUAAGGUAAACAUUUGAUAUAUAAUUUAUGAAAAAUAAUUUUGAUAACAUUAUUUUUUACAAAUUAACAUAGUAUUUAUACAGUAAAAAAAAUUGUUAUCUAAUAAUAAAAGAAUUUGCACAUAUUGAAUGCAUGUUAAGUAAUUAAUACUAAGCAAAAGUUGAGGUCAAGAGAAAUUCUAAUAUGACAUCUAAAUUAUGUUAUAGACAGUUAAUUAAAAAAAAUUCUUUUGAUUAAAAGAAAUCAAAGGAUUAUUAGGUUUUAUAUAAUAGUUGGGUAGAAAAUAAAUUCAUUUGAUGAGAGUACUUGUGAGAAAAAAAAUAAUUUCUCAUUUAGAUAAAAAUUAAAAAAAUUUAUUUUUUCCAUUCAAAUGAAAAUAUCUUAUAAUAAGACUUUAGAUACAAAACCAAACAAGUUAAAAUACCAAAACAUCUUAAAUCAAGUCAAAUUAAGACUUUAGACAUAAAAAAAAAUAAACCCUUACUUUUACUCAUCAAAUAAUGAAACCGUGCACCGCAGACAGCCUACAAAACUCAUCAAAUACGAUUCUAUUCACAACUUAUUAUGAUCGGUACUCGGUAGUUAAGAAUAUUAUUAACUACCCCUUUUUUUAUAAACCAUAAACUAAGAUAAUUGAAACCCACGUAAAGAAACAUUAAUCAAGAAUAUUCCUAAUAAGAUGGUUUGCGAACGUACAAAUAUAACUUGAUUUUGUUUUGUGGGACUCUCCGCCUUCAGAUAUUUCUAGGCUUCCCUCUUAUAACUCUAAGGACUCUUGCUUUGUUCUAUUUUAUUUUUCGUUCAAUUCUUGUUUCGCGCGCUGUCAUAGCUUUCUUUCUAUUUUACAAGGAAAUGCUCACUAUUCCUGUUGAUUGAGAUAUUUUGAUGGUCUUAUUAAGAAUAUCAGUCCUCACAUUUGUUGUUAUUGUUGUUCGUUAUAAUCUUGAACUAACAUCCAAACGAAUGAUGGCAAGAUUACUGAACUUCUUUUCAUUGUUAACUUUCUCGUUGAGGCUCAGCGUCGGAGGGCUCCUGCCUUUAAAAAACUCUACCCCUUCAAACUAAGGGUUGGAUCAAUUGGGCCAAGAGACGGGUUGGGCUUGUUUGUCAUUCUUAAAUUAUAUGAAAGCACAAUGAAUAAGAAGCAAAGAAAGAAGGAAAAUGAAUACAAUUAUACAAACCUCAAAGAUUCUCUCGCUGAUUUUUUAAGCAUUCGUGAAAGGAACCUAAAUACAGCCUAGGGAACAUAGUGAGCAUUAACCAUUAACGAAACAUAUAUAUAGCGAUUGAAAAAAAAGACUGCUAAUUAAGAAGAAAAGAUCUUGUUCAAGUGUGAGCUGUGAAACUGAUUUCCAGAGAUUCAUACGACAUGUCAGUUCGUGAUUGGUACAGAAUACGACUGGUCGGCUAAGAUCAUGCAAAGCCAUACGACAAAGCUGUUUGUUCAUCCAUAUGCGAAUAAGUCAAGCACGUGGUCGUCACAUGCUUACACUUAUUCAAUACGACUUUGCUGAGUGCCGUUUUGGAGCCUUCAUUCAAUGUGAAGUAAACACGUGGCUCUGAAGGUCGUUAUGUUCUGUUACAAGAGCGGGAAGAUCUGGUUUUUAUUGACAGAGGAGAGUUGACUGGUGGGGGUAAUUUCUGGGCUCACUUAAGCAUGUAUAUAUAGCCUUAAGUGAUGUGGAAUCAGGGUGUGUGAUGCUUGUAACUUCAUAUAAAGACUUGUAUCUUGUUCCUGGUGAUUGAAUAAAGAUUGUUGCUCUAUUCUUCAGUGGAUGUAAGCCAACUCCAGGUUGAACUACUUAAAUCUUUUUUUUUCGUUGGUUGCUGUUCUUUAGUUCCUUUUGUGUAUCUUUUAUUGUUGCUUAAGUAUUUCUUAAUCAAGCAUCAGAGUGUUUAGAUAAAUCUUGGGAAUCUUGGUUGAUUUAAUUCGAUCAAGGUCUAACAAAUUGGUAUUAGAGCCCAACAACUCUGAUUUUUUAUCCAAGAAAUGGCAACCUCUAAGUUUCAAGUAGAGAAAUUUACAGGAGAGAAUGACUUCCAUUUAUGGCGGCUUAAGAUGAGAGCAUUGUUGGUCCAUCAAGGGCUUGAAGAAACACUGGGGGAUCCAAGAUCUGAAAAGAAGCCCAGCAAGCUCAGUGGAGAAGAAAUGCAAGAUGCAUUAGACAAGGCUCAUAGCACCUUAAUCUUGAGUCUGGGUGAUGGAGUUCUGAGGGAAGUUGGGGAUCAAACAACUGCUGCAGGCCUCUGGAAGAAAUUAGAAGAUCUCUAUACGAAAAAGUCUCUAACCAAGAGACUUUGCACUAAGAAGAGGCUGUAUACAUUGCAAAUGGAGGAGGGUAGCUCUCUGGCAAAUCACAUUGAUAACUUCAACAUAAUCAUUCUUGAUCUUGAAGAUAUCAAUGUGAAACUGGAAGAUAAAGACAAGACAAUAAUCUUGUUAUCAUCUCUCCCACCUUCCUAUGAACAUUUUGUGGACACUUUACUAUAUGGAAGGCAGUCAAUAACCAUGGCUGAUGUGAAAGACUCUCUCAAUUCAAAAGAGGUCACAAGGAAGUCAGAAGUAAAAGAUGGUGAAGGCUUGACAGCAAGGGGUAGACUAGAAAAGAAGGAUUACAGUAACAAGAAUAGAAACGCAGCAAAUCAAAGUCAAAGAAUAAAAGUUUGAAAUGUUUCCAGUGCCACAAAGAGGGACAUUUCAAGAAAGACUGUCCAGAGAGAAAGAACAAGGAAAAAGAUGGACCCAAGAAGAAUGGAGAUGCUGCUGUUGCAUCAGAAGAAAAGGAUGAUGAAGGCUAUGACUCAGCUGAGGUUCUUCUAGUCACUGGAACUCAAACCAAUGGUAAGUGGGUGUUGGAUUCUGGAUGCACUUAUCACAUGUGCCCUGAUAGAAAUCUUUUUUCCAGUUAUAGAUUUUUUAAUGGUGGGGAAGUUAUGAUGGGAAACAACUCACUUUGUAAAGUGGUUGGACUUGGAACCAUUAGGCUUAAGAUGUUUGAUGGGGUGAUUAGGGAAUUAAGUGAAGUAAGGCAUGUUCCUGAGCUAAAAAGAAACUUAAUAUCACUAGGAAUCCUUGAUCAAAUAGGCUGCAUCAUUAAAAUGGAAUCUGGGGUUAUGAAGAUAAUUAGAGGGUCCAUGGUGAUAAUGAAGGGGGCCAAAAAUAAUGGCUUGUAUGUGCUGCAAGGGACAACCAUUACAGGGGAUGUUAGUGUCUCAACCAGUAAGAAUCUAAACAAAACACUAAUGUGGCACAUGAGAUUGGGGCAUAUGAGUGAAAGGGGGAUGAAGAUAUUAGAAAAACAAGGAGUCUUGAGGGAUGAUAAGAUAGGUUAUGUUGAGUUCGUGAGGUAUGUGUCCUAGGAAAAUCCUCUAGAACUAGUUUCAAAAUUGCAGUGCAUAAGACCAAAGGAACCUUAGAUUACAUCCACUCUGAUUUAUGGGGACUAGCACAGACAACUUCUUUAGGUGGAGCUAAAUAUUUCCUAUCCUUGAUUUAUGACUAUUCUAGAAUAGUUUGGGUGUAUCUCUUAAAGAGUAAAAAUGAAGCCUUUGAGAAGUUUAAGUAGUGGAAAGCACUGGUAGAAACACAAACAGGUAGAAAAGUCAAGAGGCUAAGGACUAAUAAUGGUUUAGAAUUUUGCAAUCAACAAUUCAAUGAUUUCUGUGCUCAGAAUGGAGUUGUAAGACACAAGACAGUAAGGCAUACUCCACAGCAAAAUGGACUUGCUGAGAGGAUGAAUAGGACUCUCAUGAACAAAGUAAGAUGUCUGCUAAUUCACUCAAAACUUCCUCAAUCCUUAUGGGCUGAGACACUUAUGACAGCUUGUUAUUUAGUCGAUAGAAGUCCAUCCAGUGGCAUAGACUUUAAAACACCUGUAGAAAUGUGGUCAGGCAGAGCUGCUAACUAUUCUGAUUUGAAGAUAUUUGGCUGCCCAGCAUUUGCACAUGUAAAGCAAGGAAAGCUUAAGCCUAGGGCUCUGAAAUGUGUCUUCCUUGGAUAUCUAAAGGGUGUGAAGGGCUGUAGGCUCUGAUGUAUUGAUCUUAAACCACCCAGGUGCAUAGUUAGUAGAGAUGUGAUUUUCAAUGAACAGGAAAUGCUUAAGAGCUAUAUGCAGAAGCUUGAAAACUCAGACAAAAACACUAGUGUACUGAGAGAUCAGAUUAAGGUGGAGCUUACUGGAAAAUCUGGAGAUACAACUUCAUAUGAGACAUUAGAAGAUAAGGAAAGAGAUGCAGAAGAUUCUGAUGAAAUUUCAGAAAAACAAACAACAUUGCAUGAUUAUCAGCUGGCCAGGGAUAGAGAAGGGAGAGAGAUAAGGGUACCAAAGAAGUAUGCAUAUGCAGAUCUGAUUGCAUAUGUAUUAACAGCAGCUCAUGAACUGGAUUAUGAUGAACCUAAAACCUACAAGGAAGCUGUUUCAGGGAAAAAUGCGAACUAGUGGUUGAAAGCCAUGAAAGAAGAAAUGGAUUCUUUGUAUAAGAAUGACACCUGGACACUUGUGAAAAAACCAGACAAGAAAAAGGUGGUAGGAUGCAAAUGGGUGUACAAACUCAAGCAAGGUAUUACAGGAGUGGAACCAGUGAGAUUCAAAGCCAGACUUGUUGCAAAGGGCUUCACUCAAAAGGAGGGGAUUGACUUUACUGAGGUAUUUUCACCUGUAGUGAGGCAUGCCUCUAUAAGAAUCAUCUUGUCACUGGUGGCUGUAAACAACAUGCAUUUGGAACAAAUGGAUGUAAAAACAGCAUUCUUACAUGGGGAAUUACAAGAGUACAUAGUAAUGGCUUAGCCUGAAGGAUUCACAGUCAAAUCAAAGGCUGAUUGGGUUUGUCAUCUGAAGAAGUCUCUCUAUGGACUUAAACAAUCCCCAAGACAAUGGUACCUCAGGUUUGAUAGCUUUAUGUUAGAGCAGAAAUUUCAGAGGUGUAACUUGGACUGUUGUGUUUACUUCAAAGAAGAUUCAUGCAUGAUGGUUUAUCUGGUAUUGUAUGUAGAUGACAUGCUUAUUGCCAGUGUAAGCAUGAGCUUAAUUGAAAACCUGAAACAUAAGCUUAAAAGAGAAUUUGACAUGAAGGAUCUUGGUCCAGCAAAGAAAAUUCUGGGAAUGUAGCUACACAGGGAUAGAAAAGCUGGCACUUUGUUUCUCAGUCAGGAAGAAUACAUUAGAAGGGUAAUUGACAAGUUUGGAAUGGCAAACUCAAAGCCAGUUCAAACACCCUUAGCCCCUCAUUUCAGAUUAUCAGAUCAGUUGUGUCCAAAAACAGAAGCUGAAAUAUCUGAGAUGAUAAAUAUACCUUAUGCAAGUGCUGUAGGUUGCUUGAUGUAUGCUAUGGUCCUAACUAGGCCUGAUUUAUCCUAUGCUGUGAGUGUUGUAAGCAGGUAUAUGACAAACCUUGGAAAGGAACACUAGAGGGCUGUAAAAUGGAUUCUCAGGUACCUAAAUGGGACAGCAACAUAUGGGUUAAUGUAUGGAGGACAGAGACAAGAUGACAGUCAGAUUGUUGGUUAUGUGGACUCUGAUUAUGCUGGGGAUCCGGAUAGAAGAAGAUCACUUACAGGAUAUCUCUUCACACUCAACAACUAUACUGUCAAUUGGAAAGCUCAACUGCAGAGUGUUGUGGCACUUUCAACCACAGAAGUUGAAUACACAGCUGUUGCAGAAGCAGUUAAAGAAGCCAUCUGGCUGAAAAGAAUGCUUAAAGAACUUGGUGUUGAUCAGAGGUCGAUAAUGAUAAACUGUGACAGCCAAAGUGCUAUAUGUCUGAGCAAAAAUCAGACACAUCAUGAAAAGACCAAGCACAUCGAUAUCAAGUUGCAUUUCAUAAGACUAAAAGUGUUGAAAGCAACAGUGAAGCUGCAGAAGAUUCAUACAGACAAGAAUGUUGCAGAUAUGCUAACUAAACCAGUUAGAAUUAAGUGACAGAUAGUUGAAGAGAAGAGUAAUAGGUUCAUGAGGGUUUCAAGCUCAAGGUGGAGAAUGUUGAAGUGUGAGCUGUGAAACUGAUUUCCAGAGAUUCAUACGACAUGUCAGUUCGUGAUUGGUACAGAAUACGACUGGUCGGCUAAGAUCAUGCAAAGCCAUACGACAAAGCUGUUUGUUCAUCCAUAUGCGAAUAAGUCAAGCACGUGGUCGUCACAUGCUUAUACUUAUUCAAUACGACUUUGCUGAGUACCGUUUUAGAGCCUUUAUUCAACGUGAAGCAAACACGUGGCUCUGAAGGUCGUUAUUUUCUGUUACAAGAGCGGGAAGAUCUGGUUUUUAUUGACAGAAGAGAGCUGACUGGUGGGGGUAAUUUUUGGGCUCACUUAAGCAUGUAUAUAUAGCCUUAAGUGAUGUGGAAUCAGGGUGUGUAAUGCUUGUAACUUCAUCUAAAGACUUGUAUCUUGUUCCUGGUGAUUGAAUAAAGAUUGUUGCUCUGUUCUUCAGUGGAUGUAAGCCAACUCCAGGCUGAACCACUUAAAUCUGUUUUUUUUGUUGGUUGUUGUUCUUUAGUUCCUUUUGUGUAUCUUUUAUUGUUGCUUAAGAAUUUCUUAAUCAAGCAUCAGAGUGUUUAGAUAAAUCUUGGGAAUCUUGGUUGAUUUAAUUCGAUCAAGGUCUAACAAAUCCGAACAAUCAUACUAAUUGAAUCUAAAUUUUAGAAUAUCUUUUGCAUCUUGAGAGAAGAGUUUUCAAAAUUAUGAAGGAAUAUGUCCAUAAAAAUCUAAGAGACAACUCACUAAAACUUCGUGAAUUUACCUUUUUUAGGGCUUUUUUUUCCUUUUCACAAAAUUAAAGAUAAGGGUAUAUUUAUCUUCAAAUGUUGUUAGCGGUAGUAUAUUUUUGAACCAAUCUUAAAUAAAACUUGAAAUCCCAAUAAAUUUCUGUAGAUUAUUACAAUAAAAAAAAAGUGCCGCAAUCUACACUAUCAUUUAUCGAAGGCUUUAUGUACACAAAAAUAAAGAAUGAACAAGAACAUGUAAAAUCAAUGUAGAUUCAUGGAUUACCUGCCAUCUGCAAUCAUAUUAAACUUCUAAUCAUUAAUUUCAUUGUCUAUUACGUUAAAUGCAAACACUAAAUAAAGUCGAUCUAAUUUGUUGAAAACCUAUAAAUUGCAUUAAUAAUAGCCUUUUUUUAUGUCUCCUUAUCAUAUCAAUUUCAAUGUAAAUCUUUCCACCAUCCCCAAUAAACCAUGUACCAUUUCCAUGAUAAUUCAAUAUCAAGAAAACUUCAUAUGAUUUAGCAUAUCACAUGCCCUAUCAAUCAAGGUCAACCUUCUAGACGAACUUUUUUUUUUAAUGAAAAAGUAAAGCUUUCAUUACUUCAACCCGGUGAAUACAUGUCUAAUCUUAGGUGGGAAAUUUUCCACCCAUACAAAAGAUUCCAACUUUUCCAAUGCUAUUUUAGCUAAAAGAUGGGCACUAGUAUUACAAGCUCUGGGCACAUAUUUUGUUUUGAAAGAACUGAAGGUUUUCUUUAAGCUUUGAAUUUCUGAAAUAGUCCAACAUAUCUCUGUUAAACUCCUUUCUCUAUCGUUUAUCGAAUCUACUACUUCUUGAGAGUAUGUUUCCAGAAUUAUUGAUUGCAUACCCAUCUAAUGGGCUAUUUGCACUCCCCAUUCAGCUGCUUCUGCCUCCACACUUGACACCUCUCCGUUGAACUUUACAUUUUUUAUGCCUGCAGCUAUGCAUUUUCCAGUAGAGUCUUUUAUUAUUGCACCUAAUCCAGCAUAACUCUUAUUUGAAUCAGUAGCUGCAUCAACAUUGAUCUUUAGCCAUCUAUGGGGUGGGAGAGUCCAGACUGUUUUCUUUAUCUUCUAUAAUUUUUCUUCAUUCGUAAUCUCUGGAAACUAAGUUCUUCUGAAAGCCUUAUUAAUUGCUUUAGCUUUGGCCAUUGAUAAUCUUGGGUCUAACUUCAAAUCUUCACAAACAAAUUGGUUUCUAUCAUACCAGAUCACCCAAAGGAUAUUCAUCAUCAUUUCCAUGUCAGCUCUACUUAGCUUCUUCUGUAAUCUCAUUAAGUCUCCUAAAAUAUCAGGAUUUCCCAUUUCCUGAAAGGAACUUGCCAGAGGUGAGAGUUGCCAAACUUUCUUUGCAGCUUUACAAGUAAUCAGAGCAUGCAUGGUGUUUUCCACUCUAUUUCCACAUUGUUUGCAGUAGGCCUCAUGAACAAUCUUUCGCUUCCACAAAUUUUCAGCUGUGGGCAAUAAAUUUUUUACUACCCUCUAGAUGAAAAUCUUGAUUUUGGCCGGGAGAGUGAGCUUUCAAAUAAAACUCUAGUUACUAUUACUACUAUUAGAGCAAUUAGGAGAAUCUGGAAAUUUUAAAUUUAGAGCCACUUGGUAUCCACUUUUCACUUUAUAUUUCCCUCUUUUAUCGUUGUGCCAGAUUACUUUAUCUUCAUUUUGUCUUCUAGGCAAGGGAAUGCUUAGAAUGGCUUCUGCAUCUUCCUUCACAAAGUUCUGCUGAAUCAGAUUUGUCUUCCAAUUAUUUUCGUUAUCUACCAGCACUGAAGCAUCUUUAUUCUAGAAAGAGGCUUGAAUGUUGAUGGUCUUGGAAUCCAGUUGCCUCUGUACACUGAAAUUGUCUCCCUAUUUCUUAUUCUCUACCUAUAUCCAUUGUGAAUUAUCUGCCUUCUGUUGAGUGUUAGAAAAUGUAUAUUUAUAAAGGGGAAAUCGUCAUUUUAUACUUCAAGUUUUACUAACAUUAUUACUUUUAUAUAUUUAAGCUUUUUGUGAUUUAAUUAUGUGUGUUUUAUUUUAAUUAAGUAUUUUAUAUAUUUUAGGGGCAUCAUGGUCAUUUUACAAUGAACGAUAGCUCAGACGACAGAACGAGAGCUCAGACUUUUGAACUCAGGACAGUCGAAAACUUUAGGAGGAGCAUAAAAAGAAAAAUGGCACUGUUCACAUAUAUGAUACUAUUCACAUGUACGGUACUGUCCAUAUUACUGUUCACACAUACGGAACGAUGACGUGGAAUUGUCCGAUGAUGUGGCAUUGACUGAUGAGGUGUCACGAUUCCAUUGGAGAAAAUUCUUAUGCACUGUUGAUCGGUGACGUGGCAGCAUGUUAGUGGACCAAAAAUCGCGCGUACAGUACAAUAGAUUCGUGCGCUUGCGAGUUCAAUAAAAUUUGCACAACAAGUUUUUGGCGCCGUUUCCGGGGAGGUAAGUUAUUUUAAUUUGUAGAAUUAAUUUUUGUAAAUAAUUUCUUUUAAUUGUUUUCUUGUAAUUUUUUUCUUAUUAAAAAAAAGAGUAAAUCUGCAUUUAGAGGUAAGAAUUUCUUUUCAUUUUCUCUUCUUUAAAUUUUUGUAAUUUAAUUUUUAAGUUAUUUUUCUUUGUAAUUUUUCGUUUAUCUUAUUAAUUUAUUUCACAUAUUUUUUAGUGUUUUUUUUAUAGAAAGAUUUUAAUAGUGUAAUAAGGUUAGUACCGUAAUUUCUCCUUCUUUUUUAUUUUUAUUUAUUUUGUUUCCAUUUAUUUUUCUGUUCUUUGCAUGCAUGGUCGAAGGUCAUUAUUACCUAAUCUUGAACCUAUAGACCUUGAACUUAAAAAAACAUUUCGCACACACAAACACGUUAAAAAAAAUGGAUUUGCAACAACAACCAGCACCACAGGAGAGGCCAUUUAAGGACUAUUUCAGUCCCUUAGCUAAUUUGAGCACAUCAUGCAUAAGAUACCCAAAUGUAGCUGUUAGGAAUUUUGAAUUAAAACCUAGUGUGCUAAAUUGUCUCCCAACAUUCUAUGGCCUAGAAAAUGAGGACCCAUAUAAUCAUUUGAAUGAUUUUCAUGCUGUUUGUCAAACAUUUAAAUAUGAGAAUUUUUCAGAUGAUUAUGUUAAACUCAGAUUAUUCCCAUUUCUUUAAAGGAUAAAGCUCGUUCAUAUCUCAAUACAUUGCCUGCUAAUAGCAUUAUAUCAUAGGAACAAAUGGUAACAAAAUCUUUGAAUAAAUAUUUCCCAGUGCAUAAAACCAAUGUUAUUCACAGGGAAAUCUCAGAGUUUACCCAGAGAGAAGACGAGCAGUUUUUCGAAACAUGGGAGCGAUUCAAUGAGCUACUCUUGAAGUGUCCACAUCAUGGGUAAGAGAAAUGACACCAAUGCUAAUACUUUUUGAAGGGAUUAUUGCCGCAUGUGUAAGAAUGGCUAAUGGCAACAAGUGGAGGAGAGCUAAUGUCAAAAAGUGCAUAAGAGAUUUGUGAAUUCUUUCAGCGACAAGCAGAUAAUUCCCAAUAACGGAGUCGAUCACUCAAGAAUACUAAAAGAAUUAAAGGAGUGAAUGAGGUUAACGUUGGUGAGUCAAGUUCGGAAAUUAAAGAAGUCAAAGAAAUGGUUGAAGGUCUCUCGAAAAAUAACAUCAUUAACGAUUGCUAAAUCAACAGAACCACAUGACCAUGACAAAACCAUCAAAUUACAACCCAUACUCCAACACAUAUAACCCUAGAUGGAGAGUCCACCCCAAUUUUUCAUGGUCUCAAGGAUUCCAACAGAAUGGACUAGCAGCUCUAGCUCCACCAAUGCAACCAAUUCCUCAAGUUCCUCAAGCCUCUUAGCCCCCAUUUAGACCAUACUAUCAGAACUAGAACUAAUCUCAACCCAGACCAUGGGAGGAUUCAUUCCAGAAUCUCAAGAAUCUUAAGAAUCUUACUCACUCCACGAUCGAGCAACAGAACCGCACCAUUGAUGAACUACGAAAUGAGAUAAGAGCAGUCUUCAACUGACAAGCCCAAUCAGUUUCAAGCCUCGAGAAGAUGGUGGGACAGCUUGCUUCUUCAGUUCAGACCUUGACAAUGACUGUUGAGAAAGACAAGUUUCCAAGUCAACCAGUGCCUAAUCCUAAAAGAGUGCAUGAAACAAGUAUUAAUUCACCACAGCAGCACGGAGAGGUCGAAGCUGUCAUGAACUUGCGAAAAGGAAAAGAAGUCGACAACAAAAUAGAGAUGUCGGUGACGAAAACAAAUCAAAUUGUACCUCUAAAUGUUGAAAACUCACCACUGGAGGAGAAAGAAGAAACCAACCCACGAGAAUAUGUUCCGAAAUCUCCAUUUCCUCAUAGGUUAGCUAAGGGAAAGAAAGGAAAAUCCACAGGUGAGAUUCUUGAAAUCUUCAAACAGGUAAGUGUUAACAUCCCUUUACUUGAUGCUAUAAAAUAAGUUCCAUCUUAUGCCAAGUUUCUUAAAGACCUUUGUACUAAAAAGAGAAACAUCCAUGUUUAAAAGAAGGUCUUUUUAACAGAAAAAGUUAGUUCUAUACUCCAACACAAAAUUCCUCUAAAAUGCAAAGACCCAGGCUCCCCCACUAUCUCAUGUAGCAUAGGAAACCACACAAUUGAGAAUGCUUUGUUGGAUUUAGGAGCUAAUGUAAAUCUGUUGCCUUAUUCAAUAUUUAUAAAACUUGGACUGAGAGAAUUACACCCAACUCCAGUGGUGUUACAACUUGCAGAUCGGUCUAGAAAAAUAUCUCGUGGUAUUGUGGAGGACGUGCUUGUCCAGGUAGACAAGUUUUAUUUUCCUAUUGAUUUCAUUGUAAUUAACACUUAACCAAUCCAGGAUUCAAGGAAGCACAUCCCCAUUAUCCUAGGCCGACCUUUCUUGGCAACUACGGAUGCUCACAUUCAAUGCAGAACUGAAAAUAUGCAGUUGUCUUUUGGCAACAUGACUAUGGAGCUAAACAUUUUCAACAUUGCCAAACAACCUCACAAUGCAGAUGAUGGAAUUGUUGAUGUGGAUUUAAUAGAAACAUUAGUUGAUAAUACUUUUCUUUCAAACCUUAGUGAUAACCUUUUACAAACAUGCUUAAUUUACUUUGGUUUGGAUUUUGAUAUUAACAGAUCGGUCGAUGAGGUCAGCACCCUACUUGACUUAGCACAAUCCAUUGACACUAAUAAAUGGAAGUCAAUAGUUGAACAACUAGCACCAUUAGAGAAGAAACUCAUCCCAUCAUUAGAAUCACCACCGAAACGCGAGCUCAAACCAUUACCCAACACUUUAGAACAUGUGUUUUUGGGAGAAGAAAGUACUCUGCCGGUAAUCAUCUCAUUAUCCCUAAACGACGAACAAAAAAGUAAGUUGUUGGAUAUUUUAAAAGAACACAAAGGAGUAUUAGGAUGGACCACAGCUGACAUAAAAAAGGUAUAAAUCCAGUAUACUGAAUGCAUUAUCUUCACCUUGAUGAAAAUACUAAACCUACUAGAGAAAUGCAACGUCUGUUAAAUCAUAAUAUGAAAGACGUUGUUAGAACUUAAGUCCUUAAGCUAUUAGACGCAUGUAUCAUUUACCUCAUUUCUGAUAGUUUAUAGGCCAAUCUUGUACAAGUUGUCCCCAAAAAGUUAGAAGUCACAAUAGUUACAAAUGCUGAUAAUGAAUUGAUACCCACUAGAGUGACUACAAGAUGUCGUGUAUGCAUUGAUUAUAGAAAGUUGAAUUCUGUCAUGCGUAAAGACCAUUUUCCUUUACCAUUUAUCGAUCAAAUACUUGAUAGAUUAGCAGGUCAUGAAUUGUAUUGCUUCCUAGAUGGCUACUCAUGAUAUAAUCAGAUUCACAUAGCACCAAAAGAUCAAGAAAAUACCACUUUCACUUGCCCUUUUGGCACUUUUGCAUAUAGGAGGAUGCCAUUUAGAUUAUGUAAUGCACCUACUACAUUUCAACGAUGUAUGUUAAGCAUUUUUUUCUGAUAUUGUUGAACGAUUCCUAGAAGUAUUUAUGGAUAAUUUUUCUCUCUUUGGUGACUCGUUUGAUCAAUGUUUACAUCGUCUAACACUAGUUCUGUAGAGAUGUAUUGAGAAGAACUUAGUCUUAAAUUGAGAGAAGUAUCAUUUUAUGGUAAAAUAAGGUAUUGUUCUUGGUCACAUCAUUUCAAGCAAAGGUAUUGAGGUUGACAAAGUCAAGGUAGAUCUCAUUUAUAAUAGUCCUCCACCCAAAACAGUAAGAGAAGUAAGAUCUUUCCUUGGGCAUGCUGGUUUUUAUAGACGUUUCAUUAAAGAUUUUAGCAAAGUUUCUAGACCCUUAUGCAAUCUAUUUUAGCAAAGUUUCUAGACCCUUAUGCAAUCUACUUGCUAAGAAUGUACAUUUUAUCUUUGAUGAUUCAUGUCUUGUGGCGUUUAAAAAAUUGAAGCAGUUGUUGACAUCAUCACCCAUCAUUCAACCUCAAACUGGAGCUUACCAUUUGAGCUCAUGUGUGAUGCAUCUGAUUAUACAGUAGGACCAGUAUUAAGACGAAGAGUUGAUCGACUUCGUCAUGUUAUUUAUUAUGCUAGUAUGACAUUAAAUGAUGCACAUUUGAAUUAUUCAACUACUGAAAAAGAAAUGCUAGUAGUGUGNNNNNNNNNNNNNNNNNNNNNNNNNNNNNNNNNNNNNNNNNNNNNNNNNNNNNNNNNNNNNNNNNNNNNNNNNNNNNNNNNNNNNNNNNNNNNNNNNNNNNNNNNNNNNNNNNNNNNNNNNNNNNNNNNNNNNNNNNNNNNNNNNNNNNNNNNNNNNAAAAAGGCGCAGAAAAUGUCGUGGCUGACCAUCUCUCUCGUCUCCAUUUUGACACAAUUACAGAACCAUUAACAUUGAAUGAGUCAUUCCCAAAUGAACAAUUGAUGAGUGUGGAAGUAUUACCAUGUUAUGCUGGCAUCGUGAAUUAUCUUGUUACAGGUCAACUUCCAGAGCAUUGGACCAAGCAAGACAAAGCCAAUUUUUUUGUGGAAAUAAAAAAUUUCUUUUGGGAUGACCCUUAUCUGUUCAAGUAUUGUGCAGAUCAAAUUGUUAGAUGAUGUGUCCCAGAAAGUGAAAUUUAGAAUAUUCUUUCAUUCUGCCAUGAACAAGCUUGUGGAGACCAUUUCCGUGCUAAAAAAAUAACUAUUAAAGUUUUACAAUGUGGUUUCUAUUGGCCAACUAUAUUUCGAGAUGCUUACACUUUUUGUUCUUCAUGUGAUAGGUGUCAACGAAUGGGGAGCAUUACAUGAAGGAAUAUGGUGCCACUAAAUUCAAUUUUAGUAGUUGAGUUUUUUUAUGUAUGGGGUAUCGACUUCAUGGGAUAUUUUCCCCCUUCUUUUGGCAAUUAAUACAUAUUGGUUGCUGUUGACUACGUACCGAAAUGGGUAGAAGCAAUUCCAUGUAGAACCAAUUAUCACAAGGUGGUGAUAGAAUUUUUGAGAAGCAACAUUGUUUCACGCUUUGGAUUCCCUCGAGCAAUAAUCAGUGAUGGUGGUGCCCACUUUUGUAACAAAGCAUUCAAAACUCUUUUGACGAAGUAUUCAAUCACUCACAAAGUGGCGACCCCAUAUCAUAUACAAACUAGUGGUCAAGUUGAAAUCUCCAAUCGAGAAAUAAAGCACAUAUUAUAAAAGACGGUGAGGUCGGACAUAAAAGAUUGGUCAUUAAGACUCGAUAAUGCAUUAUGGACAUAUAGAACAGCUUUCAAGACCCCGAUUGGGAUGUCACCCUACAGGCUAGUGUAUGAAAAAGCUUGCCACUUACCUGUGGAACUCAAGCAUUGUGCAUACUGGGCCAUCAAGAAAUUCAACUUUGACAUGUAGCAAGCUAGCUCAGAAAGAAGAUUACAGCUGACAGAACUUGAAGAAAUUCGCACUGAUACAUACGAAAAUGCCAAGAUUUACGAACAGCAAAUGAAAGUUGUUGAGUGUUAGAAAAUGUAUACUUAUAAAGGAGAAAAUUAUCAUUUUACAUUUCAAGUCUUACUAACAACCCUCACUUUUAUGUAUUUAAGGUUCUUGUAAUUUAAUUAUGUGUGUUUUAUUUUAAUUAAGUAUUUUAUAUAUUUUAGGGGCAUCAUAGUCAUUUCACAAUAAACGAGAGAUCAGAUGGCAAAACGGACAUCACUUUUGAACUCAGGACGGUCGAAAACCUUAGGAGGAGCAUAAAAGGAAAAAUGACACUGUUCACAUGUACGGUACUAUUCACAUGUACGGUACUGUAUACGUUACUGUUCACGGCACUGUUCGAUGACGUGGCAUUGACCGAUGAUGUGGCAUUGACUGAUGAAGUGUCACGAUCCUGUUGGACUAAAAAUCUUAUGUACUGUUGAUGGUGACGUGGCAGCAUAUUAGUGGACCAAAAAUCUCGCGUACGGUACAUGCAUCACACAGGAUUAUUUUCAACCAAACUGCGUCACUAUUCACCCGAGUCAAACCGUGUUACUGUUCAUCCGCGUGGUCAAACCGCGUACUGUUCACGCGUGUUGUUGACUGAUAACGUGGCGAAAUCCUGAGCGUCCAAACUGUUUUUAAUCCGAUGGCCAUGAUUUACUCCAUGUAUCUAUAAAAAGGGGGCCUCCCCCUCUAAUUUGAUAUCUCUGAAUCCAUUUUUGAGAUCCAUUUUCUAUAAUUCCCUCUCCAUCUUGUAUUUUCUUUGUAUUUUAAUAAAUUUCUAUUUUGCCCCUAGUUUAAUUAUGAGUGGCUAAUUUUCUUUCAAGCUUGGGUUGAAGGUAAAGUCUCAACAUGUGUCAUGGGCUUUAUUUGGUAAAUUUAUUUUCUCUUCCCCUCUAGUUUUUAUGGAUGUUUUGACUUCUCGUCGACAAAUAAUACUAAUCUUGUCUAGUACCGCCUUGGUUUCACCGGCCCUCUAGUACAAGGUUAUUAUUAUUUGGCACGAUAAGCACUUAGCAUCAUAUUGAUUAGAGGGUGGUUCAUGAGGUGUGGAUUCCCCCCUCAUGAUUUAAUUGGCAUUAAUAAGGAUUAUUUAGUCCAUGAUGCAUGUUGAUACGGAUCCAGAUACCUAAGUACGUCAUUUCAAUAGAAUUCUCUUAAAUUUAUUCUCACCAUUUCAAUACCAAUUUUAGAAUUUAUUCUCGCCAUUUUAAUUUAAGUUUUAGUAUAUUGCAAAUCAUUUCCACCACAAAUCCAAUUACUCAUUCACAAAAUUAAUUCUACACAAUUAAAAUCCACCUCCUCGUGGGAUCGAUACUCGUCACCAUUGAUCUAUACUACAAUAGAUUCGUGCGCUUGCGAGUACAUUAAAAUUUACACAACAAAAGUCUUUCAUGACAAGCAAAUUAUGAGAAAAUCUUUGACUCUAGGUCAGAAAGUGCUUUUAUUCAAUUCUCGCUUGCACCUAUUCCCAGGUAAGUUAUGCUCUCGAUGGUCUGACUCCUUUAUUGUUCACACUGUUUUUCCACAUGGGCAAUUGAAAUUAAGGACCCAAAGAAUGGUGUCACGUUUAAAGUUAAUGGUCAAAGAUUAAAGGUAUAUCUAGAGUACCAACCACAUGGAGAGAACACCGAAAUAAAUUUGAGCGACCCACCAGAUUUGAAUUGAGUUUUUUUCUUUCUUUUCGGUGAUUUAUUUUUUUAUUUAUUUUUACUAUUCUUUUGGUAAUUGAAAUUAUUUUUCCAUAAGUGUGUUUGUUUAACCAUUAAGUUUUCUUUUAUCAUUACUAAUCAUGAGUGCCAUAGCUAAACAAUUCCUCUUGGACAUUCUUAGACCACUUCAACGUGUAAAAUCUCAUUUCAAAAGGCAGAUUCGAUUUUGUAAAACACAUCAUAUUUGGGCUCUGCAACCACCAGAGUUAGUAUCCCAUGUUGAGGAUUUAGAAAGUCAACUUAGAGACAUUGAGAGAGAUGUCUACAACAUCCAGUUGGAGCUUGAGGUAAAUUCAAUAAGAGGACGAUUGUAAUUUUCUUUAUGUGUUUUAACUUAUUUUUCUUUGUUUGUGUGCUUUAGUUUGUUACCCCGAUGAAUUGGCAGAUAACAGUACUCCGUGAUAAUCAAGUCGGUUACUUUAGUUUCUCAUAAUAACUAAUCUUCUGAGGCAAAUGUAUGGACAGAAACGAGAUUCUAGUAAAUCUUCACAAUCGAUUCCUUUCACUUCCUCAGAAUGCCCUCCUUACAAUCUAUAAAGCUCGGUAUGAACGCAUGCGAUUGCUGAUGAGGAAUAACAUACCUGCUGAUAUCCGCUGGUUAAUCAAGGCAAAAGUACAAGUGGCAGGUGAGUUGCCUCCUAAAUUUAUUGCAUACAUGCCUAGUUGUGGUAAUGGAAAUUAUGCAAGAAAACAAAGAGGUCGAAGAAUUUCAGUUGCUUGUCAUAAGUGUGCCAGAAUGAGAUGCGAUAAAAAAUCAUGUUCUUUAGGAAUGGUGUCUGAUAAUAGAGAAGAUAAAAUUAAAUUCAUUACGGAUGACUUGAAUAAUGAGUCAUUGGAUGAUAUCCUUUUGUCUCUUGAAACACACCCCAGUGGAUAUGUACAAGGAGCGAUUCUCCAGCUAUAACCAUUAUUCUAGAAAGAGAAUACACGAUAUAGUGUCGGGAAUCUGACUAUAAACGACCAUGUUUGCCAGUUUAUAAGAAAACUGGAUGGGAAGUCUAUCCUCGACCCAUAGAGGGCGUUCAAGUCGUUUCUGGACGUAAAACCAGAGGAAGAUGUGAGCCACAGUCGCAACUACCUGUAAAUAUCUUUUUAUUUCACUGUUAUUUUAUUUCACUGUUGUUUUAUCAUUUGCAUUAUUGUCUUUAAUAAUUUUAUUUUAUCAUUUUUUCUUUUUACUGUUUGCUUUUUGACUCUCAAGCCAUGUGUUGUACGCAUUAAUUGACAUUGACAUGCUACCUCAUACAUAGCUAUGACCCACUGUCACCAAGAUCCUUAAAUAUAAUUUGUUUUGUUUAGCACUCACAAAUUAUUUUUGAGAAGUAUCCCAAUGGCAGCUACUCCAAAUAAACAAUUCAAAAACAUUUGUGUGCUUUCUAGAUUUAAUUAUGGCAAACAUAAAGAGUUCAUUGAGGCAGCCAUAGAUCUUGGUAGAAGUAUAGCAGAGAGAAAACUACAAUUAUGGCAAACAUCUUGGGCCCAUCUGCAUAUUCACCAAAAACUCAUCGGUUUGUUAAAUGUUAAUAACUUUUAUGAUGGCUCUAUCGCAUUUCUUAACCAUGCAAUAAAAAACUAUUUUAUUCCUUCCACAGCGAAAAAGCUUUUUAUUUGUGCUCAUACUGCUAAUGAGCUACUUGAUCUGUUACAAACUUAUCGACCAGAACCAGAUCCCAGGACCUUGGUGUUAGAGUUUCCAAAUAAUGAUGGUAACAGUAGCCGCAGUAAGAAGUACAAAUUAGAUUUAACUCUCCGCCUGUAAAUAUUUUCUUCUAUGUUACACCACCCAGGUGAUGUCUUCUAAACUCUACUUCUUUCCUUUAAAAUAUUGAGGACAAUGUUUCAUUCUAAUUGGGGGGAGGGAAUAAUCGACAAUUGUGGAAUCUUGGUUAAGUUUUUACUAAUUUUUUGUUGUAGAGACUAACCGUAGCUAACUUUUUGUGUUGAAGAUGGCUGAAUAUGGAAUGUAAUUACUCUAGAAACGAAUUUUCUUCGUUUAAAAAAAAUAAAAUAAUAAUAAUAAUAAUGUUGUUUGAAAAAAAAUUGUGUGAUUUGUUUUAACAUUGGAUGACAUGAUGAAUUUUAAAAUUUAGUAUUUAUAUUAUCUUUGGUCUUAAGAGAUGUUACGCCAUAUUUGCUACUCUACAUGUUGAUGUCGGAGACAAAUAUGAGUUGCUUGAAGGAAUAAACAUGUCAUAAUAAGUACCAAGUGAGUUUUGGAGCCUAUCAUUUUUCUUGGAGAGUAACCAUUUUGCUCAUUCUUCAUACAACUUAGUAGUUUAUUAUUUUAUACACGAUCUCUAUAUUUCUUUUGAAUUAACCUUUAAAACAAUUUGUAAAAUUAAAAAAAAAGAAAAAAAAAUGUGUGUUGCUACAUCUAGAGGCUCAUCUAACUAGUAGAUAUGGAAGAUUAUUUAGAGCUUUAAAAGACGAUGGAAAAGCCAUCUUUGAUCCGUUUGAGCCUUUGUAGCUAUCCCUUUUAUGAAAUAUUCAUAGUUAACCCUUUAAAGCCUUUAAAAAAAAACUUUUUUUUUUGUCAAACUUAUCAUCUUGACCCACUCCGAUUUGGAGUAUUACCCGAUAUCUUACAAGUUCCAUCACCUAUUUAUUUUGAGAAAAAUGUAAAUAAUUAUGUUGUUCAGUGAAGUUGUGCCAAACAAAAGCAAAACAAAAAACAAAAAAAAAUUGUUGUUUCAAAAAAAAAGAAAAAAAUAACAAUAAUAAGUGAAAUCUACCUUACAACUUCCAAAAAAAAAAACUCUACAUUUUUCUUAAACAUAUACUUUGUUUUCCUUAUUUCCCCUCCUUUGUUAGCCAUAUCCUUAGCCUACAUUACGUCUUAAUAAAAGACCUUCUUGAUUUUAGGGAACUAUAGUCUGAAGUAGAAGCUAGUUAUAUGGGCUAAAAAGAUAUAGUGAUGCAUAAAAAAAAGAUAAAAAUAAAUAAAUUGGGUUUACUAGCAUUUUUAUUUGACUUGAGAUCGUAUUAUUUUUAAGUUGAGGGUAUAUUUCUUUCAUCUUGUUGAAAGCGUGUGAUAUCACUUCUUUAUUAUUUUCUCUCAAUUACCAUUCAUUGGAGUGACUAUUUUUAUUGAGUUUAAUUUCUUUGUGAGAGUGUCACUAUUUCCAAUGAGAUUUUGAGGUUUAACAUGUCAUUCUUGAAAGUAGCUAUGACAAAGUCUACUGGGCUGAUUCAUAUGGAUGGUUGUUAUGUGUGUGAUGUUUCUUUAGACUGGAGAUAAUUCUUAUACUUUUAUUUGAUUACUAUCAUUAGUCUGAUUGAAUAAACAUAAUUGUUAAAAAAAAAAUCAUUUUGGAUUUGAAUUUUGUUUUCGCUUUAUUUGCUAGGGACUGGCAAUAAGCUGGUUGGGGGGUAUAUUGAGUGUUAGAAAAUAUAUAUUUAUAAAGGAGAAAAUCGUCAUUUUAUACUUCAAGUUUUACUAACAUUCUUACUUUUAUGUAUUUAAGUUUCUUGUGAUUUAAUUAUGUGUGCUUUAUUUUAAUUAAGUAUUUUAUAUAAUUUAGGGGCAUCAUGGUCAUUUCACAAUGAACUAGAGCUCAAACGACAAAACGGACAUCACUUUUUGACUCAGGACAGUCGAAAACCUUAAGAGGAGUAUAAAAAGAAAAAUGGCAUUGUUCACAUGUACGAUACUAUUCACAUGUACAGUACUGUCCAUGUUACUGUUCACGACACUGUUUACACAUAUGGAACGAUGACGUGGCAUUGACUGAUGAUUGUGGCAUUGACUGAUGAGGUGUCAUGAUUCCAUUGGAGAAAAUUCUUAUGCACUGUUGAUCGGUGAUGUGGCAGUAUGUUAGUGGACCAAAAAUCACGCAUACGGUACAUGCAUAUACACAGGAUUAUUUUCAAUUAAACCGCAUCACUGUUCAAGCCGGUUGACUAUUCAAACCAUGUGGUCAACCCGUGGCACUGUUCAAACCGCGUACUGUUAACUGAUGACGUGGCGAAAUCCUGAGCGUCCAAACUAUUUUUACUCUGAUGGCCAUGAUUUACUCAAUGUAUCUAUAAAAAGGAGGCCUCUCCCCCUAAUUGGACAUCUCUAAAUUUAUUUUUGAGCUCAAUUUUCUCUAAUUCAUUCUCCAUCUUGUAUUUUCUAUGUAUUUUAAUAAAUUUCCAUUUUGCCCCUAGUUCAAUUAUGAGUAGCUAAUUUUCUUUCAAGCUUGGAUUGAAGGUGAAGUCUCAACAUGUGCCAUAAGCUUUAUUUGGUAAAUUUAUUUUCUCUUCCCCUCUAAUUUUUAUGAAUGUUUUGACUUUUCGUCGACAAAUAAUAAUAAUCUUAUCCAGAUAUUGUCCUGGUUUCACUGGCUCCCUAGUACAAGGUUAUUAUUAUUUGGCACGAUAAGCCCUUAGCACCAUAUUGAUCAGAGUGUGGUUCAUGAGGUGUGAAUUCCCCCUCAUGAUUUAAUUGGUACUAAUAAGGAAUAUUUAGCUCAUGAUGCAUGUUGAUAUAGAUCCAGAUACUCAAGUGCUUUAUUUCAAUAGAUUUCUCUUCAAUUUAUUUUGGCCAUUUUAAUUUAAAUUUUAAAAUAUUUCAAAUCAUUUUCACUACAAAUUCAUCCACCGAUUUGGAAAAUUAAUUCUACACACAAUUAAAAUCAACCUCCUCGUGGGAUCGACACUUGUCACCAUUGAUCUAUUCUAUAAUAGAUUCGUGCGCUUGCGAGUUCAAUAAAAUUUGCACAACACCUUCCCCACAUUAUGCUCCUCCAAAUAUAGGAUGGAUUUGACCUUAUGGAAACUCCAAGAAAAUCAGUCAUUAGGAAAUACCUUGCCUUUAGUACUCUAGCUGCUAAGGAUUUCAGAUUUUGAAUUAUUCUCCAACCUUGUUUCGUAACUAAGGCUUGGUUGAAACUUGAUAUGUCUCUGAACCCCAUCCCUCCUCUAAUCUUGGCUCUACUCAUUUCCUCUCAUCUUGUCCAGGGAAUGCCUCUCUUUUCUUUCUUCUUGCUCCACCAAAAACCAGCAUUAUUUCUUUGAAUGUCAUCACAGAGCCCCACGGGAAUCUUAAAGACACUCAUAGCAUAAGCUGGUACAGCUUGUGCCACAACUUUGAUCAAGACUUCUUUCCCCCCACUCAAGAAGAGUUUUUGCUGCCAAUUAGAUAUCUUGCUCUGAAUUUUCAGUUUGAUCUCAUUGAAAAAAGUCUUCUUUUUUCUCCCGAUCAUAGAUGGUAGCCCUAGAUAUUUCUCGUGUCUUGACAUCACAUUGAGCUGGAAAAUUCUUUCAAUGUCUGAGGCCUGCUUUGCUGGAGCAUUUCCACUAAAAAACAUGCAUGACUUAUUAUAAUUGAAGAUUUGCCCAAAAGCUUUAGCAUAGCACUCAAAGAUGUUUUUCAAGUGCUGGCAGUCUUUGGUUAAAGCUUGAGAGAAAAUCAAGCUGUCAUCUGCCAAUAAAAGAUGAGAAAUGGAUAUUUAUUGCCCAAAUCUCAGCCCCUAAAUUUAUUUUUUCCUCUCAGCUUGUAUCAAUAAAUUUGAAAACGCUUCAGCACAUAUUAUAAAACAAAUAUGGGGAUAGAGGGCAGCCUUGCCUCAAACCCCUUUGAGGGGGUAAUCAUCCCCUGAGGAACUCCAUUGAUGAUUAUAGAAAAGGUUGGAGAAGUAAUACAAUUCAUUAUCAGAUUAACGACCUUCUCCUCAAAGCCUAAUCUACCCAUUGUCAACCUUAAAAACUCCCAUUCCACUCCGUCAUAAGCUCUACUUAUGUCUGACUUCAGAGCCACCAAUCCCCUUUUUUUUUUCCUUUGCUAUGUCUAAUCUUGUGAAGGCAUUCAUACUCAACAAUGAUAUUGUCGGUUAUCAAUCUGUUGGAAAUGAAUGCGCUUUGAGAAACAUCAAUGACAUCAUGCAAAAUAAUUUUCAAUCUAUUUGCCACUGUUUUGUCAAUGAUUCUAUAGAUUACAUUGCAAAGGCUUAUUGGUCUGAAUUGCGUCACUUUCUUAGGCUUGGCACACUUUGGAAUUAGAGCAAUAUAGGUGUGGUUUAACUGGGUAAUUGUACUUGUGUUAUUAAGGAUGUGAAGGCAUAUAGAGAUAACUCCUUCCUUUACAUAUUUCCAAUACUUCUGAUAGAAAGCAGCAGGUAACCCAUCCGGUCCGGGAGCCUUAGUUGGACACAUUUGAGCCAGGGCUUCUAUAAUCUCCUCUUUUGUGUAGGGUUGACUCAUGUCUGUGUUCAUUUCUGGUGACACUUUUGGCCUCAUUCCUCUUAGAGCAUCUUCCAUCUGAUCUUUGGUGGGGUUGGAAGUUAAGAAUAAGUCUGUAAAAUACUCACAAAAUUGUUUAGCAAUUUCACCAGUCUCUUUGAUCUAAUUACCGUGAGCAGCUUUUAUUCUCUAGAUUUUAUUUUUUUUCUCUUUCUAGAUGAGGCUUUGAGAUGAAAAAAUUUCAAAUUUUUAUCUCCCUCUCUAAGCUAAUCCGCCGUGGACCUCUGCUUUCAAUAAAUCUCUUCAUCCAGCAGGAGAUGGUGGAUCUGUCUUUCAUACCUCCAUUUGUGUUGCUGAAGGUCCUUGAUUCUGUUGACCAGCUUUUCAAGCUUCUUUUUAUUGCCUUCAAAAGUCCUUUUGCUCUAGUGUAUGAGUUUUGCAAGUGAAGCAGUGCUGACAUGCUUAAAGAGCUUAACUACAUCAGUCCCCUCCCACUUACCAUGCUUGGACCAUUCCUCCUCAACAAUUUCUUGGCACUCAUUAUAAGAGCUCUAUAAAUCCUCGUAGUGAGUUCGAGAGAAACAUUUCCUCUUGUAUGCCCUUAUUUAUCUUUGCUCUUUACAGCCAUUAAUAUUGGGUUGUGAUCAGAACACGAUGUAACUAAAUUAGUUGCAGCUUGGUCCUGGAAGAAAUUUGACCAAUCGUUGCUGCACAUGAAUCUGUCUAAUUGUUCCUUAAUGAAGUGGGUUCCAAACCUCCUAUUGGACCAUGUGAAUGGGUAACCAUUGCAGCCCAAAUCUCUAAUAUUACAAUCUUGGACAGCUUCUCUAAAAUCUGUGAUCAUACUAAGUUCCCUAUCGUUCCCCCCAUUUUUCUCAUUGAAGUGCAUAAUUUCAUUAAAAUCACCGAAACAAAGCCAUGGGGAUGAAGACAAACCUGCUAGCCUUCUUAGUAGAGUCCAUGUGUGUUUUUUCUGGUUUGUUUCUGGAUGGCUGUAGAUCCCAGUGCAUCUCAUCUGAUCUCUAUUUUCAGUUACUAUCUCUGCAUUAAUGUGGUGGCUGUGAAGGAGGUGAUAUUCACAUUUGUUUCCAAAGUCCAUAACAUAGCUAAACCCCCGCUCUUUCCCUUACUGCUCACUACAAAACAAUUUUCCAUCUUUAGCUUUUUGCCAACAUUAUUCAUGCAUACAGUCUUCAGUUUAGUUUCACACAAGAAAAUCAACUAAGGCCUGUAUAAUUGGAAGAACUUUUUCAGAGCUAUGAACGUCCGGUCAUUCCCCAACCCCCGGACGUUCCAACUCAAGAUUUUCAUGGUUGUCGGCGAGGCUGCUCCUCAGCCUCCGCCGAUUGAAUUGCUGCAUGGUUGGUUUGUUCCUUGUCCACUGCAUCCAAAUCCUCCCAGUGAAGCUUGUGUUUGUGUAGAAGCCGAUUGUCUCCAAUUGGUCCUUAUUUUGUGUACCCUUUUUUAUUUACAUUUCUAGCCUAAAGUUUCCAUUUUCUUCGUUUGAGCCUAGCAUUUUUUGUUCCUGGCCCCUCAUACACCACCUCAUCUUUUCUAGGGCUUUGACUAGAAAUUGUAGUUGACUCUAGAUUUGGCGCCACGCUCAAAUUGGUUCCCUCCCUAUUUUCUGUUCCCGCUUCUUCUCUCUGUUUCUCAUAGCCACUUGGGCUCUCAGUUAUGUUUACAGCAGUAGCUGUGCUGGAUUGCUUCUGUACAUUCUCAUGCUGCUUCCUUCGUUCCAGCGUCAUUUGUAUUAAUUGCUCACCUGUCUUUAUUGUUUGGCUUUCAUUCUCACCCGAAUUUGGUUGGUUUAACCUGAGUUUGUUUUCAUCUGGAUCCAAGCCAAUAUGAUGUGGACGACUUCUCCUCUGGCUCUCUAGCUCCGUGAAGCCAUUGUUUUGUUGCUCCCCCUUUCUAUUCCAUUUGUCUCUGCCUCAGUUUAUUCUGGUUUUUUCUGCUUUUGAUAGAGCCCUCAUAUAAACCCCGUAAGGCAGAUUUUCUUUUGAUUGCCCUUCAUAUAAUACACAUUCUUUAAACUGAUGCCCAAUAAUACCACAACAGAAGCAGAAGUCUGGAAGUCGUUUAUACAAGCCCGGCAAUUCCACCUCAUCGUUAUCUUCCAACUCCAAGAAUACCAUUUUUUCUAAUGGUUUUAUAAUGUUGAUGGAAAUUCUGACUCUCGCAUACGGACCAAUGCAUUCCCCAUCAUCAUAUGUUUCCACUUCCAGAACCUCUCCUAACAACUCCCCCAGUUUUUGAACAUUUUCCCGAUCCAUACAUACUAUAGGCACAUUAUGAAUUUACACCCAAAAAGCUGCAUAUGUAAAUUCCUCCUUUCUCAUGUUUCCAAUCCCACUAGGUUCCUUUAGCACAAUCAACGAUCUGUCAAAAUGCAAGGUCCUCCUGCCAUCACCUUUCUUUUAUUUGUUUCCAAACCAAACUUAAAAAGGAAAAUAUUGUUUCCCAAGCUUUCAACUUUCACCUCUUUUAUUGUUCUCCAUGCUUGUGCUAAGGCGGUUUUGAUUCCUUCUGUUUGUAUGCUCCGUGCCAGCAGAACUUUGCCCACUAGAGAGUUUGCAAUUAUGCGUCCUCCUUGCCCUUGAGUUCCACCCCUGAGCGAUAGUUUUCUUCAUUGCCGUCUCGUAUGGAGAUAGCUUUGCAUUUCCUUACUAACUCCUCAGUAUCCAUUGGUAUUGAAUACAUCAACUAACCUCCACCUAUUUACUACCCUGAGUUUUCCAGUAUUUUUUGCCUACUCUCACUUUUAUAAAUGCACUCCCCUAAUGACACUCUCUGAAAAGGUUCAGAACCAAUCACUCAGUCUAAUGAGUGAAGAAUAGAGCCAUUAAAGCUCAAAAUAUACUCCAUUCUUUUGUUCUCUUUCGGAGAGAAAGAGAGCAUUCAACCUUCUGGACGAACUUGUACUUGUUGGAUUGAUUAUGAGAAUGAUUAAAUAAAUUAUCUGUUAAUGUGAAAGAUUGUAAAGUAUUGUUCUGCUAUUAUUGGCAGCAUGUGCCUAUGUCAUAUGAAAUAGAAUCUGUACUUUAUAUGUACUUCGAAAUAUUAGUUGAUAGAAUUCAAAGUAGGAGCAAAUCACGGCAACCAGUAAUGAAACUUCAUGCGGGGCUCCAACGCAUUAAUGAAGAAAUUUGUGUGGAAAUACCAUACUUGAGGUUUGGGAAAUGCUUGGACAAAGGGACACUUCUCGCGGCUAAUUUGGUGGCCCUAUAACGUGGUUUUCUUUUUUAUUUUUUCUUCCUUCGCUUUUGUCUUCAAAUUCAAUAUUAAAGUCAUUAUUUGCGUACUAAUCUUUUUGAACUAACUCAUUCUAUAAAUAUCCUAUUCAGUCUACUUGCUUCUUCAUCAUAGAAAAAAUGGCUUUGUUUCUCUUUCUUUGCUUUGCACUCAUUUUCUCAGCUCUAAGCAAUGGUGGCUCUGCUACCACUCGAGUUAUUCAUCCUCCUCGAUAUCUUGACAGUAAGCAUUUGUCGGAUCCUUAACUUUUGCUUCUUUUUUUUUUUUUCAUUUUAUAGCACAUACAAAACCCGUAACACAUUUGAUUAUGUAUUAAUUUGCUAAUUAAGCUACCGUUUGUACACGGAAGUAAAAAAUAAAAUAAAAUUAUAUAUAUAUAUGACGUGUGCUGUUUUUACAAAAAUAAAAUAAAAAACUGCCGGUUGCUUAUUUGGCUCCUUUAUUUGAGGAUAUUCUGUCACAUCGGCUGAGAAUAAUUAUUUAGCUAAUUAUUUAAAUUUAGGGUAACCCUCGACUCUUGAACUAAUUUCUUAAUAUAAGUUAAGUACAUGGGGAUUAAAUAAUCUUAUAUUGAGUUUCUUUUUUCUAAUUGUUUGUGUAGUCGAUGUGUCUUGCCAUGUAAUUUUGGCCAUUUGAGUGAGAUUAAUGUUGUUCUUCUAAUUCAAGAAAGAAACAUCUAUUGUUUAUGCGGUAAAAAUCUUAAUUUUUAAAUAAAAACACACAUAAUAUCAGUGACUUAUUAUUCCACCGAAGUUAUAUCUCUGAUGUUCAUAAAUUUUUGGUCUAAAAUGUAUUUUAAUCUGCAGCACUUCUGCCAAAUGGAAACUUUGAACUCUCACCGAAGAAAUCAAAACUCAACAAAACGGUGAUACUCGGAAAGUGAUUGAUGCGCAUGGUAUGUAUUCUCAUAAAAUAUCGAAAUAUUGUACACGCAACCCAAAAAGUGAUAACAUCUGAAAGAAAAACAAUUAGUAAGGCCCUGACCUGGCUGUGGGUUUGUGUUCUCAAGUCUCAACUUUUGUUGUGGACACGAUUUGGAGUGGAUUCAACUAUUUCGCGAAUAUGGGUAAAGUAAAUGAGUAAUGACAAAAGUCAUAGACAAUUUUAAAUAAAUUGGUAUGCAUAAAUUGAGAUAAUAUAAAUAGAUUGGUUAAAAAGUGAUAAUAGUUUUUUUUAAAUUAUAUAGGUGUAUAAUGAUUUUAUAUACUUAUUUGUAUAAGAUAGUUGUAUCUCUAUCAUUAUUCUAUUACAAAUAUAUGUAAGCAGCAUUAAUAAACUUUUGGUCUAUACUAUAAAUUUAUGUAUUUAGGUUGUCUGUGAACUUCAUAUUAUAGUAUCUAUAGAAUGCAACCAACCAAAUUAAAAGACAUUGUAUUAAACAUUUUAUUUGAGGAAAAAGUUUCUCUCUCCAAAUUUUUGGCAGAUGUGCAAUGAAUUUCCUUCAAAAAAAAGACCAAAAAAAAAAAAAAAAAGAGAGACCCAACCAAUAAUCUUCGAAAUCCUAGAGACUAUAAAAUAAGAUCAACAAGCAAAGAAGCCAAUAUACAAAUAAAAUUCUCACUAGGCAACCAAAAUAAAAGAAAGAAUAUAUUCAUAUUGAAGACACAGAUUUAAAUUGUUAUGAUUCCAAUCACAUUAAAAAUGUAGGAUAGACAAUAUUUUAUAAUUAAGAGAUCAAAUGAUCAGGAUACCUUUAUCAGUUAAUCUCUCUUUUCUUUUGUUUUUUUCUUUCCUGUUCCCACUUGAACUUAAGCCCAGUGUCUGUGGUACAAUGUACUUUGCUAGUGUUUACAAUAUUUACAGUCAUGAAAUGCAUACGUUAUUGAAGUGAAAAAUGUGAAAUAAUAAAAUUUUCUUCAAUAUUUUGAUUUGCGGACCAAAUACUCUCAGAAUAAAUCUGUGAAGAAUCUUGUAUUUGCGCAACAUCAAAAAAUUAAAAGAAAGGGUUUGAAAAAGAAAAGGUAACUUGGAUAGGAAGGAAGAGAAAGGAAAGUGAGAAUGUGAAGGCCAAGAAACAUGGAGAGAACCUAUUUAUACGAGUGUGCAGUCAAAAUCCAAAGCCAAAAUCUCUUACAUUAUCCUUUUUCUUUCACCUGGGUUUCUUCUAAAACAAAAGACACCUCUCUGUCUCUAUUCUGUUGUCUCAAAAUUGAGAUAAGUGGUUAGCAGGGAAAAUUGUUGUAAUCAGUUUUGACAGAUAAUACAUUCUUUUCUUUCAGUUCUGCUCACAUGAAUUUGCAUGUUUAUUUAAUCCUUUUUUUUCAUACGUUACCUUUUGUUUGCUGGUUUUAGAAUUUGAUUAAAUGGUGGUUUCCUAAAUUUAAUUGAACAACAGUUUUACUUUCUGAUGUUAUCCUGUGAAGGAAGGAUUAGACAAAAUAUCAAAGUAACCUCGAAAAACAUAACUGAAAAAUCGGCCUCGCCCGUGAAGUCAAGAGAGUAUACCACCUGUUUUCGAUGUUUCUCGAGGUUAAAGUCGCGUGAGACCAAAGAGAACGAGGAUACCAAAAAUUCAUCUGUGAGUGUUUACCAAAGUACUUCGAGGCUCGAGCUAAAGACAGCAAUACUAGACAGUCUUAAACAUGCCUUGCAGUGGCAGAUGAAUUUUUUAACUUGUCUCAAGUUCGGUUUCCGUACAAUGGUAAAAAAAAAAAAAACACGUUCGGGCACCAUUUCGUUACAGGUGUAAUUCAUCAAUAAGUUAAAAGAGUAUAAUCUUUUGAUUUAUGUCGAAUAGAUUGGUGCUAUAAGAACCUUUAUUUGAUCAAUGGAUUUAUGGGCACCCAUCUUUUUCAUAGUCGAUGUGGAAGCUUGUUUGAAAUCCGCUGUUCUCUUCCUGUAGUUGCAGUCUCUUCUUUACGAACAGACUCAGAUGUAAGAUUCAACACCUCACAACUUCAUUUGAACAAAACCACCCUUGAAUGAACCAUAGAGAGGUUGUGAUCUUCUGAAACUGAAAAUAUCAUCUAUGUGAACGAUGUGAGGCUCAGCUGAUUCACUAGUUUCUUCCUUCAACUCAGGUGCAUGCAGGCUCCCAUACACUCGAACACUUAGUGUCUUCUUCCGCGGUGCACCAGCUUUAAUAUUCUCGUUGAAAAAGUCAAUCAAUUCUUGUUGUGUCAGCUGCCUCAGUGCUGCAACCUGUUUCAACACUAAUAUUGUAUAAACCAACUACUUCAUAAUAUAAGUACUCAACUACAAGUGAAAAAGAUAAUUUUAAUUUGCUCAGGCCCCUAAGAAGGUUUACAGAGAACAGAGGCUGCGUUCUUCAUGUCUCUUAGUUUACCUUUUUCUCCAAAAUAAAUUGAAAAUGAAUCUUCAAACAUACAAAAGUCUUAACCUGACUUGGUGAAAAAUAAAUAAAUAAAUUGAUAGUAAUUCCCAUACCUCA